rnacentral:lncRNA from 1 species
UCGUGAAUUGGACGGAUUUGUGUCUAGUAGAUGGCAGAAGCUUGAAUUAGGCCCAUCGCGUUUGCCAUGGCAGUGAAUCGCUGGCGGUUGCUUAUUAGCUUAGGUAGGCCGCACACUGGGGCCAGAGCUAACAGCUUUAUUUGAUCAAUUGAUGCAAUUGAACAGUUAAUUUGCUAUAAUUUCAAUUUGCUGGCUUACUGCUGUGUGCUGUGCUGAAGGGCUGUCUUAAAUGUGCUGUUACUCUCUCCAGAUCCUUUUGUUUAGUUUAUGUUCACGAUGUUGGUCUAUAAGAGAAUACUGUGCUAUAGUAGGUAUGUUUAAAUCAUGCUGCACGGAAUGUCGAUUGGUCAUUUAGAAAUUAUAUCCGGGUAGGCGGGUACUAGCGUACCAUGUGACUGAACUUUAGGGUUCACAGAUUUAGGCGUUAGUUGGCUUUACGAUGAGUUGAGGAGAAAACUAUUAUUGAUGAUUGCUUAACAGGCAGUAGAAUAAUACCAGCAUAUUUGCGUCUUAGAAAGUACUGCAGUUGGGAUGUAAUUUGUAAACAGGAAAAUGUUCCAUCUGUGGCGUCUUCAUUUCUGAUACCACUGCUACAAACUAUUGUACUGUUAAAACAUAGAAGGAUGAACCACAUAAAGGCCAAUCAUGUUAUCGUUUUAUAUGUCGUCUGUCAUUAGAACCGGUACAAUUUACAUGUGUUUCUUUCAAUAAACUUGGUCAUUCUGACUAUUGUUUUUAACAUUGACUCCUUCGGAUAUUUAAAAUAGACCAUUCGGUGGAAUAUCGUAUGUUACAUACCUGGCUGCUAGGUAGGAUGUUCGUGUUUCUUUCGAUAGUUAAAAUGACAAAUUAAAGAUAUUUGGUUGCUAGACCAUAGAAGAUGAAAACAGAUAAUGGAAGUUCCUUCUUGAAAUGUGGAUACUAGAAUCUGUAUCUGAAAUUCUUGAGUAGUUAUAAACUCCAAAAAUCAAAGAUUGAGUAAUCUUGAAGAAGAAGAUCAUAUAUCGUCCUUGAAAUAUUUGUCCUAUGCACCUCUCAUAUGGGUUUCUUGGAAAGAGGAAUACCUCUUGUAUGGUCUGACUACCUAAGGAUUCCUUGUAUCAAGUACUAACACUACUCCAUACUGUUAGUUAUCAUUUGUCUCUUUACUUCCCUUCUUCUAGGUACUGUAUGCGUACUAAGCGAAUAUUUAAAGACCUCAAUGAAAAUCCUUACGUUGUUGAACUUGAUCUCCGAGGUAAUGGUCCAGAUCAUGUGGAACCCAGUCCAUUUGCAUUUGUCAAGGAUUUGUGUAUACUGUUAGUAAUAUAUCAUAUGUAUACGCAAUGCAGAGGAUGGCCGAGACAUUCAAGGUGUUCUUCUAGACCUAGUUGGGCGCAAUACUGUGCCACAGGUGUUUGUGAAUGGCCACCACGUUGGUGGCUCAGAUGGUCAGUGCUCAAACUUCCCUGCUGCACUUAUGUCUGUAAGUAACAUGUUAGUACCUGUAACUAAUUUUAAUAAUCUUUCACGGUGCACCUUGCAGAUACAAAAACUGCUCUUUCAGACGGACAACUUCAGAAACUUCUUGGUCAGAGUCAGUCGCAGUGAUGAUCACCGCCGAAGCUUGGUAUUGCCCAAAACUUGUGAAAUGUCUAACAUGCGGUGUUCCUUAUGGGAGGAAUGGAACCUUAACACUCUUUAGGAAUAUGAACAGAGUGUUGCAGCUCAUGCCAGGAUUUUUUAUUUUUUUGAGUGGAAGUGUUGUGACAAAAAUCCAUGUGCUGGAUUGUAUGGUUUUCUCAAGUGCAUAUACAUUUAUCUGUUGUGCCUGUUUUUAUUACUGUUUGUGUUCAUAAGUACUCUACUUCCUCUUCCAUUUUGUAUCACAUGACUUGGUUUCAGCCUUCAUAUUAUGGAAUUUUAUUGGAAUAUCAUUGCAAACGAAGUAGUGAAAUGUUGUCCCGCAGAUCCGAGUAUCUUUGCAGCAUUCCUGAACUUACAAAGAUACGAGUCCUGGUCCAAGCAGUGCUGACUGCAAUCCCCUGUUCCUCAUGUCGUUGGACCCACCUCCAUGGGUUUUCACUUUUCAAGGAGAUUGAUAAAAUUAGAAGAGCUUUGCUGUGAAGGGGAAGCGAAUCGGUCGCCGGUGGGCACUGCCUGGUGAAUUGGAAAACAUUAUGCAGACCAAGAUUGCCAGAGGUGGCAUCUUGGACCUUUACACCAUACCACUCAGCGUUUAGGUUGAGACUUCCAUGGCGGAGAACAAGCCCUGGUGUUCUCUCUUCAACGCCGCGACAAGAGUUCAGAUUGGUAAUGGGAAGAACAUGUAUUUCUGGACUGUCGUCGAUGCGCCAUCGACCCGAAAUCAUGUGCCACCACUACCUCCGCCACUGCCAACAUCUCGGUAUCUCACAGGAGUAACGUCGUUUCCAACCCUAGCUACCGCCACCUAGAUCUUCUCUCCUCCCCCUCCCUCUCGGCCUGGCGUGACGAGAGCCUGCCCUUUUUUGUCUUUUCCUUAGGUUUUGAUUUUCUGUCAGAUUGACGAGGUGGGGCCGACUAUGUCAUGUUUGAAUAAGGUCUCUCCAGCCUCUCCCUACCUCGACGACACCUGAUCUGGCACCGACGAAGGGCUUGUGAGAGUUUGUCUCAUCAAAUAUGUUGGCUCUCUUUAGAUCUUGAUAGUUGGUGUGUCUAUCAAGGAGAGCAAUUGGCUAGCUAUUUGUACAGUGACAUUUAUACCUUAUGUGUUUUCUGUGGCAUAGUUUGGUUUCUCCAACUAGGACCGGUGGCGAUGGAUUGCACGCCUGUACUACGUAGGGUAAUGCUCCAACAGAUACCGAUGUUUCUCCAGCGACUUCUAGAUCUCGUUUCAAGUGAUGAGUGGCUAUUGUGAUCUUUAAGUCUAGUAUGAUGAGAACUUUCGCAGGUCCCUUUUGGUUUAUUGUUGGUUGAGUGUGAUUUAUUAAUCAGACAAAAAAGAAAUCUAGUAUAUUUUUUCCAGGUAUAAUUUUAUUUUUAACUAGUAGUUCUUCCUGUUUUCCUUGAUAAUUAUUACUGUCAGAUCUAAGACACCUUUUGGUGUCUUCUUUUAAAAAACGGAAGAACACUCAUGUAAGGGCAUCUCCGACGUUGGCCCUCGAACCGCUUGCAAUCGUCCGGACCACGUGGUCCAGACGUGUUUUGCCAUCCAACACGUGCCUGUAUCGGUUCGCCGAUCAGUCCAGACGUGCUUUUUCUCGCAUACUGGAAACNNNNNNNNNNNNNNNNNNNNNNNNNNNNNNNNNNNNNNNNNNNNNNNNNNNNNNNNNNNNNNNNNNNNNNNNNNNNNNNNNNNNNNNNNNNNNNNNNNNNNNNNNNNNNNNNNNNNNNNNNNNNNNNNNNNNNNNNNNNNNNNNNNNNNNNNNNNNNNNNNNNNNNNNNNNNNNNNNNNNNNNNNNNNNNNNNNNNNNNNNNNNNNNNNNNNNNNNNNNNNNNNNNNNNNNNNNNNNNNNNNNNNNNNNNNNNNNNNNNNNNUCCAAACCGCUGCCGCUCCCGCUUCUGACUGCCCUAGCCCACCCAAAACCCCUCCCUCAUCCUGCGCCCCUUAUCGCCUAAAGGCAGCUGCCCGCAUUCAUGCCGCUCUAGAGCACCCGUUCCGCAUUGACGCUGGUCCAGAGUGGACGUGCCUCUCGCUGGCACCGGCAUUGAAGCGGCUUGCUGGGCGAGGGCACCACCUGUGCCGCGUCCUCAGUGUUUGUGCUUGUUCAAUGUCAUAGAGACGUUUGCUGGAUGAGACGAAUAUCUACCACACCCGUUCAAUGCCCGCCCCUUUGUCUGCCGCCAUUAAACAGGCUUGCCGGCCAAGAAACCAACUCCGGCGCCUACGCAUUGACGCACCGGACGCUUGGCCUCGCUGACAUCCACUGUUUAAAGGCGAAUAAACCCGGCUCACAACGCACCACAUCCCAUCCGCUCCCCAUCUUCCUCCUGUGCACCAUGUUCGCCAUGACCGCGAGCAGGAAGGCCUCAUGGGAGAGCCUCUCGGCCUAGUAGAAGCACAAGGUGGCCACCCCUUGCGGCCUCCUGGCAGAGUCAUCGUGCCAGGUGGAUAGAGGCCGUCAUGUGUUGGGGAACGUAGCAGAAAUUCAAAAUUUUCCUACGUGUCACCAAGAUCUAUCUAUGGAGAAACCAGCAACGAGGGGAAGGAGAGUGCAUCUACAUACCCUUGUAGAUCGCUAUGCGGAAGCGUUCAAGAGAACGGGGUUGAAGGAGUCGUACUCGUCGUGAUCCAAAUCACCGGAGAUCCUAGUGCCGAACGGACGGCACCUCCGCGUUCAACACACGUACAGCCCGGUGACGUCUCCCAUGCCUUGAUCCAGCAAGGAGAGAGGGAGAGGUUGAGGAAGACUCCAUCCAGCAGCAGCACAAGGGCGUGGUGGUGGUGGAGGAGCGUGGUACUCCAGCAGGGCUUCGCCAAGCACCGCAAGAGACGAGGAGGGAGAGGGGUAGGGCUGCGCCAAGAAGGAGAGGAACUCGUGUGUGUUGGGCAGCCCAAACCUCAAGUAUAUAUAGGGGGAGGGGAGGGGAUGCGCCCCCAACUAGGUUUCCACCCCUAGGGGUGGCGGCCAGCCUAGAUCCCAUCUAGGGGGCGGCCAAGGGGGGGAGAGAGGGGGGCGCACCACUAGGUGGGCCUUAGGCCCAUCUAAGCCUAGGGUUUGCCCCCUUCCACUCUCCCUUGUGCCUUGGGCCUUGGCGGGGGGGCGCACCAGCCCACCUGGGGCUCGUCCCCUCCCGCACUUGGCCCAUGCAGCCCUCCGGGGCUUAUAGCCCCACUUGGUGGACCCCCGGGACCCUCCCGGUGGUCCCAGUAUGUUACCGAUAAACCCGAAACUUUUCCGGUGACCAAAACAGGACUUCCCAUAUAUAAAUCUUUACCUCCGGACCAUUCCGGAACUCCUCGUGACGUCCGGGAUCUCAUCCACUCCGAACAACAUUCGGUAACCACAUACAAACUUCCUUUAUAACCCUAGCGUCAUCGAACCUUAAGUGUGUAGACCCUACGGGUUCGGGAACCAUGCAGACAUGACCGAGACGUUCUCCGGUCAAUAACCAACAGCGGGAUCUGGAUACCCAUGUUGGUUCCCACAUGUUCCACGAUAAUCUCAUCGGAUGAACCACGAUGUCGAGGAUUCGAUCAACCCCGUAUACAAUUCCCUUUGUCUAGCGGUAUUGUACUUGCCCGAGAUUCGAUCGUCGGUAUCCCGAUACCUUGUUCAAUGUCGUUACCGGCAAGUCUCUUUACUCGUUCCGUAACACAUCAUCCCGUGAUCAACUCCUUGAGCACAUUGUGCACAUUAUUAUGAUGUUCUACCGAGUGGGCCCAGAGAUACCUCUCCGUCACACGGAGUGACAAAUCCCAGUCUCGAUUCGUGCCAACCCAACAGAAACUUUCGGAGAUACCUGUAGUGUACCUUUAUAGCCACCCAGUUACGUUGUGAAGUUUGGCACACCCAAAGUAUUCCUACGGUAUCCGGGAGUUUCACAAUCUCAUGGUCUAAGGAAAUGAUACUUGACAUUAGAAAAGCUUUAGCAUACGAACUACACGAUCUUUGUGCUAGGCUUAGGAUUGGGUCUUGUCCAUCACAUCAUUCUCCUAAUGAUGUGAUCCCGUUAUCAACGACAUCCAAUGUCCAUGGUCAGGAAACCGUAACCAUCUAUUGAUCAACGAGCUAGUCAACUAGAGGCUUACUAGGGACAUGGUGUUGUCUAUGUAUCCACACAUGUAUCUGAGUUUCCUAUGAAUAAAAUUCUAGCAUGGAUAAUAAACGAUUAUCACGAACAAGGAAAUAUAAUAAUAAUCAAUUUAUUAUUGCCUCUAGGGCAUAUUUCCAACAGUCUCCCACUUGCACUAGAGUCAAUAAUCUAGUUCACAUCGUCAUGUGAUUAACACUCACAGGUCACAUCGCCAUGUGACCAACAUCCAAAGAGUUUACUAGUGUCACUAAACUAGUUCACAUCAUCAUGUGAUUAAGACUCAAUGAGUUUUGGGUUUGAUCAUGUUUUGCUUGUGAGAGAGGUUUUAGUCAACGGGUCUGCAACAUUCAGAUCCGUAUGUACUUCACAAAUCUCUAGGUCAUAUUAUAAAUGCUGCUUCCAUGCUCCGCUUGGAGCUAUUCCAAAUGGUUGCUCCACUAUACAUAUCCGGUUUGCUACUCAGAGUCAUUCGGAUAGGUGUUAAAGCUUGCAUCGAUGUAACCCUUUACGCCGAACUCUUUAUCACCUCCAUAAUCGAGAAACAUGUCCUUAUUACUCCAAGGACAAUUUUGACCGCUAUCUAGUGAUCCACUCCUAGAUCACCUUUGUACCCUCUUGCCAGACAUGUGGCAAGGCACACAUCAGGUGCGGUACUCAUCAUGGCAUACCGUAUAGAGCCUAUGACAAAAGCACAGGGGACGACAUUCGUCCUUUCUCUUUCUUCUUCCGUGGUCGAGCUUUAAGUCUUAACUUCAUACCUUACAACUCAGGCAAGAACUCCUUCUUUGACUGAUCCAUCUUGAACACCUUCAAGAUCAUGUCAAGGUAUGUGCUCAUUUGAAAGUACCGUUAAGCGUUUUGAUCUAUCCUUAUAGAUCUUGAUGCUCAAUGUUCAAGUAGCUUAAUCCAGGCUUUCCAUUGAAAAACACUUUCCAAAUAACUCUAUAUGCUUUCCAGAAAUUCUACAUCAUUUCUGAUCCACAAUAUGUCAACAACAUAUACUCAUCAGAAAUUCUAUAGUGCUCCCACUCACUUCUUUGGAAAUACAAGUUUCUCAUAAACUUUGUAUACACCCAAAAUCUUUGAUCAUCUCAUCAAAGCAUACAUUCCAACUCCGAGAUGCUUACUCCAGUCCUUAGAAGGAUUGCUGGAGCUUUGCAUACUUAUUAGCAUCUUUCAGGAUUGACAAAACCUUCCAGUUGUAUCACAUACAACCUUUCCUCAAGAAAAUCGUCGAGGAAACAAUGUUUUGACAUCCUAUCUGCAAGAUUUCAUAAAUAAUGCAGUAAUCGCUAAUAUAAUUCCAACAGACUCUUAGCAUCACUACGAGUGAGAAAGUCUCAUCAUAGUCAACUCCUUGAACUUGUCAGAAAAAAUCUUAACGACAAGUCGAGCUUUCUUAAUGGUGAUACUUACCAUCAUUGUCCGUCUUCCUUUUAAAAUCCAUCUGUACUCAAUAGCCUUACGACCAUCGAGCCGUUCUGCCAAAGUCUACACUUUGUUUUCAUACAUGGAUCCUCUCUCGGAUUAUAUGGCCUCGAGCCAUUUUGGAAUCCAGGCCCACCAUCACUUCUCCAUAGCUCGUAGGUUCAUUGUUGUCUAGCAACAUGACUUCCAAGACAGGAUUACGUACCACUCUGAAGUAGUACGCAUCCUUGUCAUCCCACGAGGUUUGGUAGUGACUUGAUCUGAAGUUUCAUGAUCACUAUCAUAAGCUUCCACUUCAAUUGGUGUAGGUGCCACAGGAACAACUUCCUAUGCCCUGCCACACACUAGUUGAAGAGACGGUUCAACAACCUUAUCAAGUCUCCACCAUCCACCCACUCAAUUCUUUCGAGAGAAACUUUUCCUCGACAAAGGACCCGAUUCUAGAAACAAUCCCUUAUUGCUUUCAGAUCUGAGACAUGAGGUAUACCCAACUGUUUUGGGUGUCCUAUGAAGAUGCAUUUAUCCGCUUUGGGUUCGAGCUUAUCAGCCUGAAACUUUUUUUCACAUAAGCGUCGCAGCCCCAAACUUUUAAGAAAUGACAGCUUAGGUUUCUCUAAACCAUAGUUCAUACGGUGUCAUCUCAUCGGAAUUACGUGGUGCCCUAUUUAAAGUGAAUGCGGUUGUCUCUAAUGCCUAACCCAUAAACCAUCGUGGUAAUUCGAUAAGAGACAUCAUGGUAUGCAUCAUAUCCAAUAGGGUGCAGUUAUGAUGUUCGGACACACCAUCACACUAUGGUGUUCCAGGAUGUAUUAGUUGUGAAACAAUUUCCACAAUGUCUUAAUUCUGUGCCAAACUCGUAAUUCAGAUAUUCAUCUCUAUGAUCAUAUCAUAGAUCUUCUAUCCUCUUGUCACGACGAUCUUUCGACUUCACCCUGAAUUACUUGAACCUUUCAAUAAUUCAGACUCGUGAUUCAUCAAGUAAAUAUACUCAACAUCUACUCAAAUCAUCUCUGAAGUAAGAACAUAACGAUAUCCACUACAUGCCUCAACACUCAUUGGACUGCACACAUCAAAAUGUAUUACUUCCAACAAGUUGCUUUCUAGUUCCAUUUUACUGAAAACGAGGCUUUCAGUCAUCUUGCCCAUUUGGUAUGAUUUGCAUGUCUCAAGUGAUUCAAAAUCAAGUGAGUCCAAACGGUCCAUUUGCAUGGAGUUUCUUCAUGCAUAUACACCAAUAGACAUGGUUCGCAUGUCUCAAACUUUUCAAAAAUGAGUGAGUCCAAAGAUCCAUCAACAUGGAGCUUCUUCAUGCAUUUUAUACCAAUAUGACUCAAAUUGCAGUGCCACAUUUGUGUGGUACUAUCAUUACUAUCUUGUACCUUUGGCAUGAAAAUGUGUAUCACUACGAUCGGGAUGGUAUUAUUCAAAUAAACAGAGUAACCAUUAUUCUCCUUAAAUGAAUAACCGUGUCGCGAUAGACAUAAUCCAAUCAUGUCUAUGCUCAACGCAAACACCAAAUAACAAUUAUUUAGGUUUUAAUACCAAUCUCGAUGGUAGAGGGAGCGUACGAUAUUUGAUCAACCUUGGAAAUACUUCCAACACAUAUCGUCAUCUCACCUUUAGCUAGUCUCCGUUUAUUCCGUAGCUUUUAUUUCGAGUUACUAACACUUAGCAACCGAACCGGUAUCUAAUACCCUGGUGCUACUAGGAGUACUAGUAAAGUACAUAUUAACAUAAUGUAUAUUCAAUAUACUUCUAUCGACAGCCUUCUCAUCUACCAAGUGUCUAGGGUAAUUCUGCUCCAGUGGCUGUUCCCCUUAUUACAGAAGCACUUAGUCUCGGGUUUGGGUUCAACCUUGGGUUUCUUCACUAGAGCAGUAGCUGAUUUGCCGUUUCAUGAAGCAUCCCUUUUUUCCCUUGCCCUUCUUGAAACUAGUGGUUUCACCAACCAUCAACAAUUGAUGCUCCUUCUUGAUUUCUACUUUUGUGGUGUCAAACAUCGCGAAUAUCUCAAGGAUCAUCAUAUAUGUCCCCGAUACAUUAUAGUUCAUCACGAAGCUCUAGCAGCUUGGUGGUAAUGACUUCGGAGAAACAUCAAUAUCUCAUCUGGAAGAUCAACUCCCACUCGAUUCAAAUGAUUGUUGCACUCAGACAAUCUGAGCACAAGCUCAACAAUUGAGCUUUUCUCCUUAGUUUGUAGGCUAAGAAAAUCGUCGGAGGUCUUAUACCUCUUGACGUGGGCACGAGCCUGAAAUCCCAAUUUCAGCCCUCGAAACAUCUCAUAUGUUUCGCGACGUUUCAAAACGUCUUCGGUGCCUCAACUCUAAACCGUUUAACUGAACUAUCACGUAGUUAUCAAAAUGUGUAUGUCAGAUGUUCGCAACAUCCACAGACGACGUUCGAGGUUCAGCACACUGAGCGGUGCAUUAAGGACAUAAGCCUUCUAUGAAGCAAUGAGGACAAUCCUCAGUUUACGGACCUAGUCCGCAUAAUUGCUACUAUCAACUUUCAACUAAAUUUUCUCUAGGAACAUAUCUAAACAGUAGAACUAAAGCGCGAGCCACGACAUAAUUUGCGAAGACCUUUUGACUAUGUUCAGGAUAAUUAAGUUCAUCUUAUGAACUCGCACUCAGAUAGACAUCCCUCUAGUCAUCUAAGUGAUUACAUGAUCCGAGUCAACUAGGCCGUGUCCGAUCAUCACGUGAGACGGACUAGUCAUCAUCGGUGAACAUCUUCAUGUUGAUCGUAUCUACCAUACGACUCAUGCUCGACCUUUCGGUCUCUUGUGUUCCGAGGCCAUGUCUGUACAUGCUAGGCUCUUCAAGUCAACCUAAGUGUUUCGCGUGUGUAAAUCUGUCUUACACCCGUUGUAUGUGAACGUUAGAAUCUAUCACACCUGAUCAUCACGUGGUGCUUCGAAACAACAAACUGUCGCAACGGUGCACAGUUAGGGGGAACACUUUCUUGAAAUUUUAAUGAGGGAUCAUCUUAUUUACUACCGUUGUUAUAAGCAAAUAAGAUGCAUAAACAUGAUAAACAUCACAUGCAAUCAAAUAAUAGUGACAUGAUAUGGCCAAUAUCAUAUAGCUCCUUUGAUCUCCAUCUUGGGGCUCCAUGAUCAUCUUGUCACCGGCAUGACACCAUGAUCUCCAUCAUCAUGAUGUCCAUCACUGUGUCUCCAUGAAGUUGUCUCGCCAACUUAUUACUUCUACUACUAUGGCUACCGGUUAGCAAUAAAGUAAAGUAAUUACAUGGCGUUGUUCAAUGACACGCAGGUCAUACAAUAAAUAAAGACAACUCCUAUGGCUCCUGCCGGUUGUCAUACUCAUCGACAUGCAAGUCGUGAUUCCUAUUACAAGAACAUGAUCAAUCUCAUACAUCACAUAUCAUUCAUCACAUUCUUCUUGGCCAUAUCACAUCACAUAGCAUACCCUGCAAAAACAAGUUAGACAUCCUCUAAUUGUUGUUUGCAUGUUUUACGUGGCUGCUAUGGGUUUCUAGCAAGAACGUUUCUUACCUACGCAAAAACCACAAUGUGAUAUGCCAAUUGCUAUUUACCCUUCAUAAGGACCCUUUUCAUCGAAUCCGAUCCGACUAAAGUGGGAGAGACAGACACCCGCUAGCCACCUUAUGCAACUAGUCCAUGUCAGUCAGUGGAACCAGUCUCACGUAAGAGUACGUGUAAGGUCGGUCCAGGCCGCUUCAUCCCACAAUGCCGCCGAAUCAAGAUUGGACUAGUAACGGUAAGCAUAUUGAACAAAGUCAACGCCCACAACUACUUUGUGUUUAACUCGUGCAUAGAAUCUACGCAAUAGACCUAGCUCUGAUACCACUGUUGGGGAACGUAGCAGAAAUUCAAAAUUUUCCUACGUGUCACCAAGAUCUAUCUAUGGAGAAACCAGCAACGAGGGAAGGAGAGUGCAUCUACAUACCCUUGUAGAUCGCUAUGCGGAAGCGUUCAAGAGAACGGGGUUGAAGGAGUCGUACUCGUCGUGAUCCAAAUCACCGGAGAUCCUAGUGCCGAACGGACGGCACCUCCGCGUUCAACACACGUACAGCCCGGUGAAGUCUCCCAUGCCUUGAUCCAGCAAGGAGAGAGGGAGAGGUUGAGGAAGACUCCAUCCAGCAGCAGCACAAGGGCGUGGUGGUGGUGGAGGAGCGUGGUACUCCAGCAGGGCUUCGCCAAGCACCGCAAGAGACGAGGAGGGAGAGGGGUAGGGCUGCGCCAAGAAGGAGAGGAACUCGUGUGUGUUGGGCAGCCCAAACCUCAAGUAUAUAUAGGGGGAGGGGAGGGGCUGCGCCCCCAACUAGGUUUCCACCCCUAGGGGUGGCGGCCAGCCUAGAUCCCAUCUAGGGGGCGGCCAAGGGGGGGAGAGAGGGGGGCGCACCACUAGGUGGGCCUUAGGCCCAUCUGAGCCUAGACUUUGCCCCCUUCCACUCUCCCUUGCGCCUUGGGCCUUGGUGGGGGGGGGGGCGCACCAGCCCACCUGGGGCUGGUCCCCUCCCGCACUUGGCCCAUGCAGCCCUCCGGGGCUUAUAGCCCCACUUGGUGGACCCCCGGGACCCUCCCGGUGGUCCCGGUAUGUUACCGAUAAACCCGAAACUUUUUCGGUGACCAAAACAGGACUUCCCAUAUAUAAAUCUUUACCUCCGGACCAUUCCGGAACUCCUCGUGACGUCCGGGAUCUCAUCCACUUUGAACAACAUCCGGUAACCACAUACAAACUUCAUUUAUAACCCUAGCGUCAUUGAACCUUAAGUGUGUAGACCCUACGGGUUCGGGAACCAUGCAGACAUGACCGAGACGUUCUCCGGUCAAUAACCAACAGCGGGAUCUAGAUACCCAUGUUGGUUCCCACAUGUUCCACGAUGAUCUCAUCGGAUGAACCACGAUGUCGAGGAUUCGAUCAAUCUCGUAUACAAUUCCCUUUGUCUAGCGAUAUUGUACUUGCCCGAGAUUCGAUCAUUGGUAUCCCGAUACCUUGUUCAAUGUCGUUACCGGCAAGUCUCUUUACUCGUUCCGUAACACAUCAUCCCGUGAUCAACUCCUUGAUCACAUUGUGCACAUUAUGAUGAUGUCCUACCGAGUGGGCCCAGAGAUACCUCUCCGUCACACGGAGUGACAAAUCCCAGUCUCGAUUCGUGCCAACCCAACAGACACUUUCGAAGAUACCUGUAGUGUACCUUUAUAGCCACCCAGUUACGUUGUGACAUUUGGCACACCCAAAGUAUUCCUACGGUAUCCGGGAGUUGCACAAUCUCAUGGUCUAAGGAAAUGAUACUUGACAUUAGAAAAGCUUUAGCAUACGAACUACACGAUCUUUGUGCUAGGCUUAGGAUUGGGUCUUGUCCAUCACAUCAUUCUCCUAAUGAUGUGAUCCCGUUAUCAACGACAUCCAAUGUCCAUGGUCAGGAAACCGUAACCAUCUAUUGAUCAACGAGCUAGUCAACUAGAGGCUUACUAGGGACAUGGUGUUGUCUAUGUAUCCACACAUGUAUCUGAGUUUCCUAUCAAUACAAUUCUAGCAUGGAUAAUAAACGAUUAUCAUGAACAAGAAAUAUAAUAAUAAUAAAUUUAUUAUUGCCUCUAGGGCAUAUUUCCAACAUCAUGGCAGCGAGCUCUCUAGAGGUCUCCGACGACCCCAUGAUAGAGAUUGGCUCAGACGACGACUAUCUGCUAGAGCCUGCCUCGGUGCAUGUUGGCUUGACGAUGGAGUAGGCACAUGCACACUUCAACGCCGCCAUGCUGAGGAGUUGUUGGCACCCACACCUAUGUCAGUGUUGCAGCAGGCGCAGGAGGAACGACGCAACAACCUGUUCCUCCUCGAGCAGCGCUGGUUGACGAAGGGUCAGAUCUACAGCAAGGGAACGAGCGAGGAGGUCGUGGUGCCCAUGAUCGCAUUGAACCCCAACUUCAACGCUUAUCAGUAGGCGCUCUAUGAGGCCACCCGCGCUCAAGCCGCUCGGAAUGCGCAGGUGACGCUGGCUGCGCAGGUGAUCGUGGACAAGAACGCCACCAGUUGCCCGUCCUAUGCACCGCCAAACACAGGUUGACUGCGUCGUUGGGAUGACAAGCGUGCCAGCCCCUUCACUUCCACCGUGGACCUCACGUCCAUUGGCGACAGACAGAUCGCGAACUCCGACUAGGAUGAAUAGGGCAUCGAAGGUGGUGGGAGCUCGAGUCCCAAAUGGGACGACCUGUCUCCCAUGUUCUGCUCUUUCUCGCCGGUGGCUGCAUCUUCACUUCACGGGUUUUAUCCCCACCGCUCAUGGAGACGGCAAAUGGAGGAGGUGCUCACUAGAAGGGAAUAAGAAGGACUUGGACGAGGGCACCACCGUAGGCUAGAUUUAGGCAUGGUCCCCUUUUUUUAAUGAAACUGUCCGAAAUAUAAUGAAUUUUGUCCGGUUUGUAUGAAAAUCAUCCGGUUUGCAUGUAAUUCAUUCGAUUAGUUGAAACUUGGCUUGAAAUGUAUGCAAAUAGUAUUGGAUGACCGCCUUCCUCAUGUGUGUCCACGGACGAAUGCGGUGUCCAGGGUCAGAGAUGCCCUAACUCGGUGGUAAUGGACCCCUAAAAAACCAAAUAUGUUAAGCAUAAGGGCUUGUUAGGGGGGUACAGACCCUUCCUUCUGAUUCUCUUCAACCCUCCUUGAUUAUCAGGUGGGUGGGGCCCCUCCCUCACCCUUAAUCCAAGGACUCCGAUAACGCCCACACGUGUGGGUGUUAAGGGGUCUGUCCAUAUGUUUUGUGUGGUGUCUAAGAGGAUAAGCUCACACGUCUACGUGUGGGCAAAACAAGUAAUGCCCACACAUCUCUUUUUUUCCUCGCGGUCCCUCUCACACGCCUAUGUGUGGGUAAAAUAGAUAACGCCCACAUGCCCGUACAUCAGGCCUCCUAUCUCACCGCACGCCCCGCGUGACAGUCACCACGCGCCCGCAGUUGCCAUGGUCCGGAUCCUCUUCCAUGUUUGUUUAACUGCAGUUGCCAUGUCAGACAACUACAGUUGCCAUGGUUGCUCAACUGCAGUUGCCAUCUCAGGUCAAGUGCCAGAUGCCAUUUUUGGACAACUGCAGCUGUUGCCAUGUAUGGUCUUGUUUACUAUAGUUGCCAUGAUUUGAAAACUUUAGGGGUUGCCACCUACUAACACUAGGAAGUUGCCAUGUAUGGUCUGGUUUACUACAAUUGUCAUGAUUUGAAAAUUUUAGGAGUUGCCACCUACUAACACUAGGCAGUUACCGUGUAGUGCUACAAAGAGACAUGGCAAAAUAACAUGUUCGGGUAAAAAGAGAGAGUUGCCAUCUACUUACAAGCACACUAGGACAGUUGUCAUGUUGUAACACCCACGAUGCGGCUAUAUCUCCCACGUGUCGGAGUACGACUUAGAGGCAUAACCGCAUAGUAGGCAUGUCGCAAGAGGGGUAAUCUUUACACAUCCCAUGUACUGAAUAAGAAAGGGAUAAAGAGAUGGCUUACAAUCGCCACUUCACACAAUACAUAAAUAUAGCAUUACAUCAUCUAGAUACAAUCAAGGUCCGACUACGGAACCAAAAUAAAGACAACCCCAAAUGCAUAGAUCCCCGAUCGCCCCGACUGGGCUCCACUACUGAUCAACUGGAAAACGAAACAACACAACAAACACGAUCUUCAUCGAGCUCCUCCUUGAGCUCGAUUGCGUCACCUGCACAAUAUCAUCGGCACCUGCAACUGGUUUUGGAAGUAAUCUGUGAGUCACGGGGACUCAACAAUCUCACACCCGCGAGAUCAAGACUAUUUAAGCUUAUGGGUAGGAAAGGGUAGUGAGGUGGAGCUGCAGCAGGCACUAGCAUAUAUGGUGGCUAACUUACGCAAAUAAGAGUGAGAAGCUAAGCAAUGCAACGGUCGUGAACUAGAAGUGAUCAAGAAGUGAUCCUGAAACUACUUACGUUCAAGCAUAACUCAAGAACUGUGUUCACUUCCCGGACUCUGCCGGAAAGAGACCAUCACGGCUACACACGCGGUUGAUGCAUUUUAAUUAAGUUAACUGUUAAGUUUCUACAACCGGAUAUUAACAAAUUCCCAUCUGCCCAUAACCGCGGGCACGGCUUUCGAAAGUUCAAAACCCUGCAGGGGUGUCCCAACUUAGCCCAUCAUAAGCUCUCACGGUCAACGAAGGAUAUUCCUUCUCCCAGGAAGACCCGACCAGACUCGGAAUCCCGAUUACAAGACAUUUCGACAAUGGUAAAACAAGACCAGCAAAGCCGCCCGAUGUGCCGACAAAUCCCGAAAGGAGCUGCACAUAUCUCGUUCUCAGGGCACAUCGGAUGAACACUACGUACAACUAAAACCAACCCUAAAGUUUCCCCGAGGUGGCGCUGCAAGUGGCUCUAUUUUGGACCAACACUCAGAGGAGCACUGGACCGGGGGUUUAAGAUAAAGAUGACCCUUUGAGUCUGCAGAACCCAAGGGAAAAAGGCUUAGGUGGCAAAUGGUAAAACCAAGGUUGGGCCUUGCUGGAGGAGUUUUAUUCAAGGCAAACUGUCAAGGGGUUCCCAUUAUAACCCAACCGCGUAAGGAACACAAAAUCAAGGAACAUAACACUAGUAUGACGGAAACUAGGGCGGCAAGAGUGGAACAAAACAUCAGGCAUAAGGCAGAGCCUUCCACCCUUUACCAAGUAUAUAGAUGCAUUAAAGUAAACAAAAUAUAAUAAUGAUAUCCCAACAAUAAUCAUGUUCCAAUAAGGAACAAACUCCAUCUUCACCUGCAACUAGCAACGCUAUAAGAGGGGCUGAGCAAAGCGGUAACAUAGCCAAACAACAGUUUGCUAGGAAAGGUGGUUAGAGGUUUGACAUGGCAAUAUGGGAGGCAUGAUAUAGCAAGUGGUAGGUAUCGCGGCAUAGCAAUAGAGCGAGCAACUAGCAAGCAAAGAUAGAAGUGAUUUCGAGGGUAUGGUCAUCUUGCCUGAAAUCCCACAAGGAAGAAGAACGAGCCCAUGAAGGAGACAAACGGACGAAGUCGAACCAAUCCUCACAACUCCGGAACGAAACCGAAGCUAACGAGAGAAGCAACCCGGAAAGAAACACGCAACAUAGUAAACAACCACCACAUAAACAUGGCAUGAUGCACAACCAAGUAUGAUGCAUGUCCGGUUUAAUUAGGCAUGGCAUGGAAAAAUGCAAAAACAAUCCUACAAAUUAAGUGGAGCUCAAUAUGCAACGAGUUGCAUAUUGACGAAACACCACAUGACUUAUUUAGUUCGAUCUCAUUUAUGUACUCAACAAUAUUAAAUGUUGUUUAGCAUGGCAAGGGGUGAAGCAAAGUAAAACUACCUAUCUAGGCAAGUUUAAAUGAGGCCGGAACAACAAGCAACAAGUCCGAAAAAUCCUCAUAUGCAUUUAGCAAAUUAAUGCAAACAAAAAUUUAAACACUCUUGAUGUUGUUAUCAUCACGCGGAUGACAUUUGCAAGUUUUAUGCAAUUUUUAUUAAAAGUUGACAUGAGCAUAUAAAGCAUUUGUCAUCGUGGCGGAAAACGAAAGGGGUGCCACGGUAACGACAACGGAAAUGGUGCCACGUUAACAUUCCGGUUCCGGUAACUCGAUUGAGAUGCCGGUGCAAAAGGAAGUGUGACAGGAGCGUGACAUGCAAGAUGGUGGGGUGGUCCCAGUUGCCGGGUUCCCACGGGUGGACGGCAUGGCAACGAGGAGGACCAUGCAAGCGACAAUUUUAGACACGGUGCAAACGCGGGGUUCAUCUCAUACACCACAAGCAAUCGUUCUCGGACGGUCGUCUCGGGAUUAUACCUUCGAAGCGUGCAAACAGGACGGAUCUCGUUCGGUGCAAAGUAGAGGAAGUAGGCGUUCUCGGGAUGUUCGUAGCAGAAGUAGUCGUACACGGUGACAGUAGUUGUACAUGGGUCUUCAGCCACAGAAGUAGUCAUACAACGUUUUCGUAGAUGUUCGGGGUCACGACAUGGAACUUGACGUCCAUGGAGUCUUCACGAUUCGACGGUAGUGGUACACGUUUCGUAGCCGUUCGAGUCAUCGGUAGAGGGACUUGACGGAAUUUGGAUCCCUUCGGAGUUGUCGUGGUACUUGGGGUCUUCGGACUUGCCGGUCUCGGUUCGUGCAAUGGUAGUAGUACAUCUUGUAGUGGAACUUGGUGCAUCCAAGGUCUUCGGCGCAGUGGUACACAUUCUAUAGGCGAACAUGGGUGUCGUGGUACUUGGCGAAAUGAGGGGUGCUGAGGAAGUCCUGGAUUAGGGGGUGUCCGGAUGGCCAUACUAUACCUUCGGCCAGACUCCUGGACUAUGAAGAUACAAGAUUGAAGACUUCGUCCCGUGUCCGGAAGGGACUUUCCUUGGCGUGGAAGGCAAGCUUGGCGAUACGGAUAUGUAGAUCUCCUACCAUUGUAACCGACUCUGUGUAACCCUAGCCCUCUCCGGUGUCUAUAUAAACCGGAGAGUUUUAGUCCGUAGGACGAACAACAAUUAUACCAUAGGCUAGCUUCUAGGGUUUAGCCUCUCUGAUCUCGUGGUAGAUCUACUCUUGUACUACCCAUAUCAUCAAUAUUAAUCAAGCAGUACGUAGGGUUUUACCUCCAUCAAGAGGGCCCGAACCUGGGUAAAACUUCAUGUCCCCUGCCUCCUGUUACCAUCUGACCUAGACGCAUAGUUUGGGACCCCCUACCCGAGAUCCGCCAGUUUUGACACCGACAUUGGUGCUUUCAUUGAGAGUUCCUCUGUGUCGUCGCUUUUAGGCCCGAUGGCUUCUCCGAUCAUCAAUAGCGAUGCGAUCCGGGGUGAGACUUUUCUCCCCGGACAGAUCUUCGUAUUCGGCGGCUUUGCACUGCGGGCCAAUUCGCUUGGUCAUCUGGAGCAGAUCGAAAGCUACACCCCUGGACAUCAGGUCAGAUUUGGAAGUUUGAACUACACGGCCGACAUCCACGGAGACUUGAUCUUCGACGGAUUCGAGCCAUAUCCGAGCGCGCCGCACUAUCACGAUGGGCAUGAUUUAGCUCUGCCGCCGAACAGUGCCCUGGAGGCCGCACCUGUGUCCGCUCUGACCCCUAGCUCGGAGCCGAUCACACCAACCGAGGAUGGGUCGUUAGACACCGCCUCAGGGGCUGCAAUCUCUAUGGCGAUCGAGCCGAACACCAGCCCUAUUCUCUGCGAAGCUCAUGACUCCAAGGAGCCGGACUCCUCUCCGGACUCCGAGCCCUUUGCGCCCCGACCGAUCGAACCCGAUUGGGCGCCGAUCAUGGAGUUCACCGCCGCGGACAUCUUUCAACACUCGCCCUUCGGCGAUAUUCUGAAUUCACUAAAGUAUCUCUCUUUGUCAGGAGAGCCCUGCCCGGACUAUAGUCGGCAAGGUUGGGAUGCGGAUGAUGAAGAAAUUCAAAGCCCACCCACCACCCACUUCGUAGCCACUGUCGAUGAUUUAACCGACAUGCUCGACUUCGACUCCGAAGACAUCGACGGUAUGGACGCCGAUGCAGGAGACGAUCAAGAUCCAGCGCCUAUAGGGCACUGGAAAGCCACCUCGUCGUAUGAUAUAUACAUGGUGGACACCCCAAAAGAAGGCAAUGGCGAUGGAACAGCGGAGGAUGACCCCUCCAAGAAGCAGCCUAAGCGCCGGCGUCAGCGGCGCCGCUCUAAAUCCCGCAAAAAAAACGGUGAUUCCGGCACGGGGGAUAAUAACACACCGAACAGUGCCGAAGACAACCACCUCCAGCAAGAUUCAGCACAGGAGGAUAGAGAAGCUAGCCCUCAUGAGAGAGCGGCAGACAGGGAGGUUGAGGACGAUAAUUAUAUGCCUCCCUCCGAAGACGAGGCAAGCCUCGAGGACGACGAAUUUGUCGUGCCGGAGGAUCCCGUCGAACAAGAGCGUUUUAAACGCAGGCUUAUGGCCACGGCGAACGGCCUCAAGGAAAAACAACAACAGCUUAGAGCUGAUCAGGAUUUGCUAGCUGACAGAUGGACGGAAGUCCUUGCAGCCGAAGAGUAUGAACUCGAACGCCCCUCCAAGAGCUACCCAAAGCGCAGGUUGCUACCCCAAUCAGAGGAGGAAGCACUUAAGCCUACAUCACCAGCGCAUGAUGCGGCCGACCGGCCACCCCGUGGCCGCGACAGAGAGGCCUCUCGGCCCUCCACUCAAGUCGCACCCCGGCGCCACUCAAAAACUACCAAGGCAUGGGAAAAUGCGCCAGACCUGCGAGACAUAUUGGAGGACAAGGCAAGGCAAACAAGAUCGAUCUACGGAUCACGUGGGCGCCCCACGAGACGGUACUCGUCACGCCGGAUAUAGUAAAUCCGGCCGGGCCGAACACAGUAGACAAAGCUCGUUUGAGCCGCGUCGUGAUAUAGCCCAGUAUAGAGGCGCCGCACACCACUAUGCUUCACAGAUGAAGUAAUGGAUCAUCAAAUCCCCGAGGGUUUCAAACCUGUGAACAUCGAAUCAUAUGAUGGCAUGACAGAUCCUGCGGUAUGGAUCGAGGACUAUCUCCUCCAUAUCCACAUGGCUCGCGGUGAUGACUUACACGCCAUCAAAUACCUCCCACUCAAGCUUAAAGGACCAGCUCGGCAUUGGCUUAACAGCUUGCCAGCAAAAUCAAUUGGUUGUUGGGAGGACCUGAAAGCCGCAUUUCUCGACAAUUUCCAGGGCACUUAUGUGCGACCACCAGACGCCGAUGACCUAAGCCACAUAAUUCAGCAGCCAGAGGAAUCGGCCAGACAAUUCUGGACAUGGUUCCUAACCAAGAAAAAUCAAAUCGUCGACUGUCCGGACGCAGAGGCCCUAGCAGCCUUCAAGCAUAACAUCCGCGACGAGUGGCUUGCACGGCACCUAGGACAGGAAAAGCCGAAAUCUAUGGCAGCCCUCACGACACUUAUGACCCGCUUUUGCGCGGGAGAAGACAGCUGGCUAGCUCGCAGCAAUAACAUGACCAAGAGCCCUGGUAAUUUGGAUACCAAGGACAGCAGUGGCAGGUCGCGUCGCAACAAGCAAAAGCGCCGCAUUAACGGCGACAAUGCUGAGGAUACGACAAUUAAUGCCGGAUUCAGAGGCUCUAAACCCGGUCAGCGGAAAAAGCCAUUCAAAAGAAAUACUCCGGGCCCGUCCAGUUUGGACCGAAUACUCGACCGCUCAUGCCAGAUACAUGGCACCCCCGAAAAACCAGCCAAUCACACCAACAGGGAUUGUUGGGUGUUCAAGCAGGCAGGCAAGUUAAAUGCCGAAAGCAGAGACAAGGGGCUGCAUAGCGAUGAUGAGGAGGAGCCCCGGCCGCCGAACAACAGUGGACAGAAAGGUUUUCCCCCACAAGUGCGGAUGGUGAACAUGAUAUACGCAACCCACGUCCCCAAGAGGGAGCGGAAGCGUGUGCUAAGGGACGUAUAUGCGAUGGAGCUAGUCGCCCCAAAGUUCAACCCAUGGUCUUCCUGCCCGAUCAUUUUUGAUCGAAGAGAUCACCCCACUAGCAUCCGUCAUGGAGGAUUCGCCGCAUUGGUUCUAGACCCAAUUAUUGACGGAUGUCACCUCACUAGAGUCCUUAUGGACGGCGGCAGUAGCCUGGACCUGCUUUAUCAGGAUACAGUGCAGAAAAUGGGCAUCGAUCCCUCGAGGAUUAAACCCACCAGAACGACCUUUAAAGGCGCCAUACCAGGUGUAGAAGCCAACUGUACAGGCUCAGUUACACUUGAAGUGGUCUUCGGAUCUCCGGAUAAUUUCCGAAGCGAGUUAAUCUUCGACAUAGUCCCGUUCCGUAGUGGCUAUCACGCACUGCUCGGGCGAACCGCAUUUGCCAAGUUCAAUGCGGUGCCGCACUACGCAUACCUCAAGCUCAAGAUGUCAGGCCCUCGAGGCGUCAUCACGGUCAAUGGUAACACCGAACGCUCUCUCCGAACGGAGGAGCAUACGGCGGCUAUCACAACGGAAGUACAAAGCAGCCUCUCAAGGCAAUUCUCCUGUCCGGCCAUUAAACGUCCGGACACCGUCAAGUGCGCCCGGAGUAACCUAUAACAAGACUUCCUGGCACGUUCUGAGCAAGCGUAGCAAUGCGGCCCCAACCCCAGCCCUCGAGACCUUGCGAAACCAGUGUCGCGCGUACAUAACUACGCUCUGGAAAUACCAUGAGCACAGGGGGAGGGGCACCAUCACGGCAAGCCCAAAACGCGGCUUAAACCGUACUAGGGGCUGCCGAUUUCUUAAAUUUUCUCUUAUUUUCAGGACUACAUUCUUCGGAAGGCUUGUUCGGCAGUACAAUUGCCGCACAAAUGAUACAACCAGGGAAGCAGAAAGCUACGCCGCACUACGGAACUCUAAGGUGGUCUCUAUAACGAGCAGUAUACCUGUUUCGCAAAACAUUCCAUAGCUCGCCCCUGGAAAGGACAUAUUUGAUAGUCCCAUCUUUUGCUUAUCGCACUAUUUGUAUCGUUCUGCUUUGAUCGCAGCUUUUUUUAAAUAAACAAUGCAUAGCUUCCGUCUAUUAUUGCAUUACCUUUUUUACGAAUAUAUGUUCAUUAAUGACAUGUUGCACCCGUACACUUUGGUACGGCCAAUACGCCAGGGGCUUAAGUACCCCACAACAUGGUGUGAGAAGUCCGAACACUUUCACAAGUGCGGCACCCCGAACUUAUAGCAUUAUAUGCAUCGGCUCCGAAUCAUGUCUUGGGUCAAUAGUUGGGUUUGCCCGGCUCCUAUGUUUUGGUAACUUACGUUCCGUCAUAUCGGCUAAGGUAGCACUAGGAGAACUACUGCGAUUGUGCCCCAAUUGAGCUGGGCUAAGCACCUCAGUAGAGAAAGCUAAAACUGACCGUCAUGAUGAGGCGAGAGUUGGUCGCUGUUUGAGAGGUUUUCGAGUCCCUAAAGACUUAUGCCGCUUAGAGCGAGGAGUCGGCUUUGUCCGGCCUAGGCGUGGAUAGCGCCCUGAACUCGGUCUUCCGAACACUAGGGGCUUCGCCGAAAUUUAAAAUUAUAGAAUUCUAUGGCUAAGUGAGAGUGAUCAAGCAUUAUAGUCCAAUUGCCUUGUUCGUUGUGUUGAGCGCCUCCCUCGAAGGACCCAAGAAUGGGAAAAAGAGCGCUCAUGUUUAUCCCGAACACCCCAGCACUCAUGGCAUGGGGGCAGAAGCCGACGACUCGCCAUCUCUCAAAUUUGAUAUACGGCCGCACAGAAGGUAAUAUUUCAAAUUCAAAAGCGUUGCUUAGCGCAUAUGAACAAGUUUUCAGCGUAUAGGAUCACAAAUGCGAGUUUACUAAAAAAUUACAUCUUUGGAGCAUUCAUCCGCUAUAAGGCGGGCACCCUUCAGGACGCCCUCAUAAUACGCUUCCGGGACAUGAUGCUCCUUGCCCGGCGGCGGCCCGUCCUUCACCAGCUUCUCCGCAUCCAUUUUGCCCCAGUGCACUUUAACACGGGCAAGCGCCCUACGGGCACCUUCGAUGUAGACGGAGCGCUUGAUUACUUCAAGCCGUGGACAGGCAUCCACCAGCCACCUCACCAGCCCGAAGUAGCUCCCAGGCAGAGCCUCUCCAGGCCACAGCCGAACUAGGAGGCCCUUUACGGCCUGUUCGGCAACCUUGUGGAGCUCGACCAUCUGCUUCAGCUGGUCGCUCAAAGGCACCAGGUGUCCGGCCUUAGCAUACUGAGACUAGAACACCUUCUCCGUCGAGCUCCCCUCCUCGGCUCAGUAGUAGGCGGCGGCAUCAGACGCACUGCGGGGCAAAUCUGCGAAUGCUCCUGGAGAGCUCCGGACUCGGGUAAGUAACAAAUAAUUCACUUUCACGUGCUUGCUUUGCAUAAUGAAUGCCUUACCCGCCGCUAUCUUCUUCAUCGCAUCAAUUUCUUUGAGGGCUUUCUGGGCUUCGGCCUUGGCAGACUUCAUGCUUUUGAGGGCUGCCGCAAGCUCAGACGCUUGUGUCUUUGAGUCAAGCUCCAAACUCUCGUAUUUUUUCACGAGAGCCUGGAGCUCUUUCUGCACCUCCUCCACCCGUGCCUCCUGCUUCUCUCUCUCCGUGCGCUCCGCGGCUGCCCUGUUUUCGGCCUCGGACAGCGCUUGCUUAAGGAUUGCCACCUCGGUCGUGGCCCCUAUUGUAGCACGUUGAUCCUGUCAUUUUUUGCAACCACAUCUUCUUUAUAUAAUUGCGCAAGGUAUUACUUACCUUCCUUCUCCUCGAGUUGCCUCUUGGCAUGGCCGAGCUCGUUCUCGGACCGCGCGAGGUUCUGCUUCAGCGUAUCCACCUCCGCAGUCAGUGCGGCGGAGGCCAGCGGCGAAGCCUGCACACGCAUAUUGACUUGAUUAUGUUAGACUCCUGCGAUUAUUAGAUCCUCUAUUCGGCUUUUCUUUCCGAACGCCGAACAGAGCAUCAGGGGCUACUGUCUAUGCGGUAAUAUUUUUACAUAUUCUUUACCUACCUCAAAGCCUGUUAGAAGGCUGGCACAGGCUUCAGUCAGUCCGCUCCUGACGGACUGAACCUUCUGGAUCACCACACUCAUAAUAGUACGGUGCUCCUCGUCGAUGGAGGCGCCGUUAAGCGUCUUCAACAAAUUGUCCGGUGCCUCCGGUUGGAUGGAGGUCACCGGCUCGGUAGGCUCGCCCCUCUUGAAAGGAGGCCGCCUACUGGAGUCCGGAACCAUUGAAGGUUCCGGCGCGGUGUCCGGCUCAAGGCCGGACUCGGAGCCCUUGGGGGUUUUAUCCCCUUCGCGCCUGGAGUCCGGGAGGUCGCCUUGUGGCGCCUCCAGGACCACCUCCUCCUGGCUUGGAACCUGUUGGGACAGCACCUCGGCGCCGUCCGUAGGGUGGGGGGAGGUAGCCGUCGGAAGCGAAUUCACAUCCGAUGAAUCCAGGGAACCGCUCGAUGACACGUCGAGCCGAUCUUUGGGUGGACUGCAUAAACAUGUUCGACAUAAGGAAAAGUUGUGCAAUGGAAGAAUACUAUGAAUCACUCUGGUAUCCGGACACUUACGAUCUCGCCAGGGGCUUGGCCUUGUGCGGCCACUCCUCUUCGCCGUCGUCAGCGUUGGUGGAGCCGUCCGGAGGAAGGGUUUUCCCCUUCUUGGAACCUUUGGCCUCCCCAGUUGGGGCGGCCUUCCUUUUCUUCUCUCCUCCCACUGGAGGGGGAGAGGUCUCUUCUUCCUUCUCCUCGUCUUCACGGGAGGAGUGCGUCUUGGAGUCGUCGGAUGAUGAAUCCGACACCCCCAGGCGCCGGGCACUCUUCCGAGUCCCCGUGGCCUUCUUCUUGGCCUUCUUCUCCGGCACCACAUAGGGUGCCGGAACUAGCAGCUUCGCCAAGCGAGCGUCCGCUGGGCCUUCGGGCAAAGGAGCUGGAUAGUUGAUCUGUCCGGACGUCUCCUGCCAAUCAUGUCAAAGGUAAGGGAGCUUAAGAUCCCGCAUGGAGUCAAACUAUGAAAAACUAAUACCCUGUAAAAGGUGAAAACAGCUUACCGCACGAGCGCGACGCUGCAUGCUGAAUCCCCGAUCCUCGGUAGCGGAUGCGGGGGCCUCGGCGCCCUUGAAAAGCACCUUCCAGGCAUCUUCGUACGUUGUGUUGAAGAGCCUGCUUAGAGUUCGGUGCUGCGCCGGGUCGAACUCCCAUAGGUUGAAAGCCCAUUGUUGACACUGGAGGAUCCGGCGGAUAAGCAUAACCCGGACUAUGUUGACAAGUUUGAGCUUCUUGUCCACCAGGGUUUGGACGCAUGUUUGGAGUCCGGUCAGCUCUCCUUCUUUACCCCACGACAGGCCCGUCUCUUUCCAGGAGGUGAGCCGCGUAGGGGGUCCGGAUCAGAACUCGGGGGCUGCGACCCAUUCAGGGUCGCGCGGCUCGGUGAUGUAAAACCACUCCGAUUGCCAGCCCUUUAGGGACUCCACGAAGGAGCCCUCGGGCCAUAGGACGUUGGGCAUCUUGCCCACCAUGGCACCUCCGCACUCCGCCUGAGUGCCGCGCACCACCUUCGGCUUGACAUUGAAAGUCUUGAGCCAUAGGCCGAAAUGGGGGCAGAUGCAGAAGAAAGCCUCGCACACGACGAUAAACGCCGAGAUAUUGAGGACAAAAUUCGGGGCCAGAUCGUGGAAAUCCAGGCCAUAGUAGAACAUGAGCCCCCGGACAAAUGGGUGGAGAGGGAAGCCCAGUCCGCGGAGAAAAUGGGGGAGGAACACCACCCUCUCAUGGGGCCUAGGGGUGGGGAUGAGCUGCCCCUCUUCGGGAAGCUGGUGCCCAAUGUCGUUAGACAAGUAUCUGGCCUUCCUCAGUCUUUUGAUGUGUCCCUCCGUGAUGGAGGAGACCAUCCACUUGCCUCCCGCUCCGGACAUGGCUGGAGAAGGUUGAGAUUGGGUGUGCGGACUUGGGCGCUGGAGCUCGAGUGCGAGGAAAUGGAUAGGCGAAGGAGGAAGAAGGCGUGGAUGAAAAGGUGGAUCCUUAUCCCCUUAUAUGGGCGGACGCGACUAUGCGCCCCCACCAGCCUGGUAAAACUCGCUUAUCUCCCAAGCGCCGCAGUCAAUGGCGCGGUUGGGUUAUCCACACCCGUAUUGAUGAGAAUCCCGGAAUAAGGGGACACGAUCUCUGAUUUAACAAGACGUGCCAAGGAAACCGCCUCGCUAAACGCGCUGAGGUGGGACAGUAAAACGAUUCAAAUAAAGACUUGGCCGUGGUGUGAUGUCACGCUAUGGAAUAUGUGAGUAGAUUAGAUUUGUGUAAGUAUUAUUCUCUCUAUGGCAAUAUGUGAAAACUUAUUUUGCAUAGCCGGACACUACCUUUGUGUUCAAAAUCUUCUAUAAAGUACUUGGAGGAGGAACCCGCCUUGCAAUGACGAAGACAAUCUGUGCACUGGACUCAUCGUCAUUGAAGCCUGGUUCAGGGGCUACUGAGGGAGUCCUGGAUUAGGAGUGUCCGGAUGGCCAGACUAUACAUUCGGCCGGACUCCUGGACUAUGAAGAUACAAGAUUGAAGACUUCGUCCCGUGUCCGAAAGGGACUUUCCUUGGCGUGGAAGGCAAACUUGGCGAUACGGAUAUGUAGAUCUCCUACCAUUGUAACCGACUCUGUGUAACCCUAGCCCUCUCCGGUGUCUAUAUAAACCAGAGAGUUUUAGUUCGUAGGACGAACAACAAUCAUACCAUAGGCUAGCUUCUAGGGUUCAGCCUCUCUGAUCUCGUGGUAGAUCUACUCUUGUACUACCCAUAUCAUCAAUAUUAAUUAAGCAGGACGUAGGGUUUUACCUCCAUAAAGAGGGCCCGAACCUGGGUAAAACUUCGUGUCCCCUGCCUCCUGUUACCAUCCGACCUAAACACACAGUUCGGGACCCCCUACUCGAGAUCCUCCGGUUUUGACACCGACAUGUGCACCGGGCUUGGCGUGCAGAAGACACUUGGAACAUAGAAGCCAUCAGGCUGCUGUCCGUUGGGAAACGAGAUGAACCAGGGGAGGUCAAAGCAGCAGCGGGGCAAGCACUGGUCCAGCGGGACGCGGGGGUCGCCGGAAACCCAGUGGAGCAACGGCAACAGAGAACGGAGCGCAUGCACCAUGGAUGGAACUUGCAGCUUAGGCAGGGAGGUGGAAGUGCAGACGCUGCCGACGGCAGCGGAUGUGCAAGGGACGGAGCAAGGCGCCCGAUGGAGGAAAACUGGCGGCGCCGAGCAGAGGCUUGGGCGGAGCUCCUCGGGCUGGACGCUGGCAAGGAGGAAGGACCGCGGAGCGGAGUCGCGAGGAACGCAGGGGCCGCGGGGCGGCACGAGGCCGGAGGAGAGCGAGCUUGGGGCGGCCGGCGUGGACGUGGGGUCGCGAUGGCGGGGGCAGGCCGUCCUGGUGCUGCGGGGCUGUCGGCCAUGGGAGCUUGAGGCGCCGGAGGAAGGAGGAGGCGCGGGGACGGUAGGGGCGCUGGUCGCCGGCAGGGGCGGCCUCGGGAAGGAGAAGGAGGGACUUGGCGCGGCGGAGGAGGAAGGAGGCAGAGGGGGUCGGGGAUGAGGAGCAGCGCUGCUCUCUCCCUGGUGCCUGGUGCGAUGCGUGAGGCAGCUGGAGGAGGAAACGAGGGAGAGAAAGGGAUCGAGCAGGGGAAUCGGUCGGGCUAGGUUAAGCAGGGCGCCGGCUGGGCCUGGGCCUUUUGGUGGAGAUGGAAAAGGCCAUAGGCCUGGUCGGCUGGGCUGCAGGCUCUCUUCUCUCUCACACUCUCUUCUCUUAACCAUUAAGAGAAAAAAAUAGAUAGAAGAAGAAAAAUAUAAAGAGAGGGUUAGGGAUGGAAUUUGGGCAUGGGGGUAAUUUCCCCGGACUCACAAAAAUGCGUUGGUUCCAAGAAAAUAGAAAUGGCCAAGAUCGAACGAAAAGAAUUCAAACUCAUUUGAAUUUAAUUCAAAUAGGUUUGAACUAGGGCGGGGUUUUAGGAGUAUCCAAAAAUGGGUUUUUGGAGGAACCUCGGAAUAUGAUGAAAGAAUAAAUAGCAAAGUUAGAGGCCAAGAGUUGUGAUAACAAAGGCAUUGAGAAUUAUUUUGCAAGUGUGUUCCGGUUAAUUCCAACAAAUGAAAUAUUUAAUAUAGCUCCCUAAUAUCGGGAGGAUAUGUUAUAAAGAGAACCACUAUGUGAAUUUCCUUGGUUUAAAUGGAUCUAAGAUCCAUGCCAUUUAUUUAGUUGAGUUAAAAAAAAGAAAUGACAUGAUGCAAUGACAAAUGCAACGAACCAAACAGAUCACAUGACGAAACCCGAAAACCAUGGAAGGCAACUGAAGCUCCGGUCUUGGGGCGUCACACAUGUAUCCUACAAAACACAUGGCAACUGACAUAUUCGGAUAAAAGAGAGAGUUGCCAUUUGCUUACAAGCACAGUAGGGCAGUUGUCAUGUACCCUGCAAAACACAUGGCAACUGACAGUUUUGAGUGUGGGAGAGGAGACGGGCGUGUAGGCGAACUGAUAAAUGCCCACACACCAGCCCCUGUGUGGGCGAACUGUUAAACGCUCACACAUCGGUCCCUCCGUGUGUGAAAACGGACGUGUGAACGACCGAAUAAAUGCCCACACAGCAGCCCAGUCCUACAUGGCACCAUAAAUAUGCCAACAUUUGUGCAACCACAAAUGGAUGUGGAUUCACGCGUGUGGGCGAGAUGCAAACGCCCACACCUGUGGGCGUUAGUGUUUCAAUAAUCCAAUCAGCACCUGACAAGUCACAAACGCUCUGCAAAACCCCCUAUUAAUCCGUAAACAUAGCAUUGUUGCCUAAAAAACAGUUGCCCGCGUCUUUAGUUUAUUCUGCUUCUUUUACUCAGAUCCGUGUGUCUCUUUCACCGGCCUGCUCACCAUCUCACGAUCAUCUUUCUUUUCCGAAAGCCUACACAAUCUGCAGGCAUCACUCAUCCCACCUAGUCUCUGUCAGAGUGCUGGUUCGUUUUUGCUGUAAAGACUCCCCUUGAGACCACGCUACUUCUUUAUUCGCUUCGAUUCGACGGCCGGUCUGGAUCUAUACAUUCCACCACCUGCAGUGCCAGUGUGCAGCACACAGUGGUAAGCAUAUCUAGGCUCGCUCCUGUUGCAUGGCGCUGCAAUUCAUGACACUAGGUGCUUAAGUUCGCAAGUGACUCAGAUGGCCUCUCGCCGGAGGGUUGAGGAGAGCGUGUGGGUGGCGGACGUGGACGCGGCGCUGAGCGGCCAUGACCCGUCGACGGAGUCGUCUCAGUGGCAGUGGCACUGCAUCUACCGCGUGCCAGCGUGCAUCAAGCACCUGAAUCUCAAGGCCUACCAGCCGCAGGUGGUGUCCCUGGGCCCUUUCCACCACGGCGAGCCGCACCUGCUGCCCAUGGACGUGCACAAGCGCCGGUCGCUCCUCCACUUGCUCCGGCGCGCGCGCAAGCCACUGUCGGAGUUCGUGGUGGCCGUGGCCGGCGUGGCGGAGCAGCUGGAGGGCGCGUACCAGGGCCUCGCCGACGACUGGCGCGGCGCCCUCGGCUGCGAGGAGGAGAGGAGGGAGAGGUUCCUCGAGAUGAUGGUCACCGACGGGUGCUUCCUGCUGGAGGUGAUGAGGACGGCGUCCGGUUUCGAGGUGAACGACUACGCGCCCAACGACCCCGUCUUCAGCAACCACGGCCUGCUCUACACCGUGCCCUACAUCCGCCGCGACAUGAUCAUGAUCGAGAACCAGCUGCCGCUCCUCGUCCUCCACAAGCUCCUCGCCGUCGAGACCGGCAAAGAUGAGGUAGUAACUAAUUAAGCCAUGAGACAACGCAUGCAUUCUUUAUAGUAUCAUGAAACUUAACAUAAAUUUCGCCAGCGAAUUAACAAAAUUAUUAUGCAGUAGAAAAGACUAUAGCUGAACAGAAGAUCCAAAACAGCAAAGUGUAGCCGAAUGGUUCUUUAUUCCAUUGCUCCAUUGCAAGCAAUGUAGUUGAUGCUACCUUUUAGCUUCUUACCAUGCAUGUAGUACAAAAAAAGUAAAGAAAAAGCAUUUUUGCUAGUGGUAUGUGCUGAUAGAUCUCACACUGAAGUCGGCCUUUGCCAUGAUUGUACCUACUAAUGGUACGGACGGACGUUGUUGGCAGCAGAACGAGGAGUUGAUCAACCGGAUGGUGCAGAGGUUUCUAACCCCGGCUGCUUGGCCUCCGGCGACCGGCGUCGGACUGGCGCUCCACCCGCUGGACAUCCUCCGCCGGAGCCUGCUCUACGGCCCCACGCAGACGGCUCCCCCCGCGCCUCCGGAUUACGCGGUCCCGGACGACAUCAUCCGGUCCGCCGAGGAGCUCUACGAGGCGGGCGUUCGGUUCAAGCGGAGCCGGACGAGCAGCCUCCUGGACAUCAGCUUCCACCGCGGCGUGCUCCGCCUGCCGGCCAUCGUGGUGGACGACACCACGGAGUACAUGCUCCUGAACCUGAUGGCGUUCGAGCGGCUGCACGCCGGCGCCGGUAACGAGGUGACCGCCUACGUCUUCUUCAUGGACAACAUGAUCGACACGGCGGCGGACGUGGCGCUGCUGACCUGCAGGAGGAUCGUCCACAACACGGUGGGCAGCGACAAGGCGGUGGCGAAGCUCUUCAGCGGGAUGUCGAGGGACGUGGUGCUGGAGCCGCAGAGCGCGCUGGACGACGUGCACCGCCAGGUGAACGCCUACUGCCGGAAGAGGUGGAACCGCUGGCGCGCCAACCUGGUGCACACCUACUUCAAGAGCCCCUGGUCGUUCCUCUCCCUCGCCGCCGCUGUCUUCCUCCUCGGCAUGACCAUCAUGCAGACCGUCUACACCGUGCUACAGUUCUACCAGGAUGCCACCACCAGCUAGCUUAUAUCUAAGCUAUAAGUUCCACUUCUACCUUGUUCGAUUUACUCCUGAUAUUUGAGUGAAGCGUGUUUGAUCACGGUGUGGCUUUUAUCGAUAAUGUUUUAGUUGCAUCAGUUCAUGACUGUGAUGACAUUACUCAUAUGAUGUUGUCGUAGAAAAAUGAGAAUAAUAUUUUGAUCCGUGUUCAACUUACCGGGUAGCUCUUAUCCUCAUCCCUGGGGCAUUAUAAAAUACUACUCCCUCUUAUUCAUAUUAAUUAUCGCUGAUUUACUACAACUUUGUGGAGUACAAAAAAUAGGACGACCUCAUAACAUGAACAAGGCAACCAACCAUAUAUAAAUUUCUAUUCUAGGAUGUGGCUAGCGCUCACUCGCUCAGUCGACUCAUAUUUAACAAAAAUAACAGUCCAUCAACACUACUGAACCAGGCCGGUUUGAUUUUUCCAUCGCAAAGGUUGCGCUUGUUGUUCUUUUCUUUACUAGUCUUGUCACCGACGAAGGUUUGUGGGCCGGAAGGUUUAUGUAGGAAUUGGAGUCUGGGGUUACAGGUUCUACUUCGGUCAGAGCCGUCCUUCGGACGCGAGUUGUCGUGUCUUGUACUCCAGGUCUUCCAGCCCACCACAUUGUGAGGCCAUGGGCCGAGUUGAUUGGCCCAUGACAUAGCCGACCUAGGGGGCCCAGGUUAGCUCCUGGUAAGGUGGGCACCUAUGAAGCGUAACACCUUCAAUAGCCCCUGAACUGGUCUUUGGAUCCGGCUGCUUCCUGGUCGAUGUUGAUCUGCUGGCGCUAGCCUGUGCAAGCUUGUCGAAGCCGAAGCCAGUUUAUGAAGCUCCCAUGUUCUUGAAUUGUAGAUGUAGAUAGCCAAUCUUUACGACAAGUCAUCCCAGGAAGCCUGCUAGUGCAAGUUGAUUCCUGCACAACACUUGUGAAAAUUCUCAAAUACAGAGCUUUGGUCAUGAGGCGACAAGACCAGGCUCUAACACAACCAAUCGAGUCAAACCAUCUUAGUCAUGCAGACUGUCAGUUAAAGCGUCGUGAGCGAAGGGUCAUGGACCCCACUCAUGGAUCAUUUAAAGAUGAUGCACUAGAUGCUCACGAAACGAUCCCAUCAAGUAUGAUCUUUGCAACACCGGGAGGGGGAUCCAAUGUGCCGAGCCAACAAUGUUUCAGUAGACUUGCAGUCAAGGUGCUGGAUGGUGCUUGGAACCAACAAGGUUGGCCAUGUAGCCUUCGAUAAAAUGAUGUGUGAGACUUCAAAAAAAAAUCACGGAGUGGCUUCCUUCUCACGUGCUAGAUGGCCCAUAGAGUAACUAAGAUAGUCACAAAAUCUAUAUGCAGUAUAUAAUCCUUCAAAGACAGCAUCCACCUUUUAGCAUCUGGCUCAUUGGUUUGGUGCAUCAGUUCAACCAAAUCUGAAUCAUCAAGUGCUCAAACACAACGUGACAUGUUACACUCAGGUAAAGAAUAACUCCAUGAAUCCUUCGAACCGCGAAUGCCACAAUUACUGGCCGGAAACAUGUGCCUAUGAUGAACGAGAUUGGUCAUAGGCAUGGAGUAUUGGGCAAGUUGCUGAUGGGGUCAUGUACAUAGGGUAGGGUCACAGACCUGAUCUAAGUACCCUGCCCAAGGACACCCUUAGAAGAGGUCACCUUCCAGUCGACCAACGAGGGACUCACUCGACUGACUUGAAGACUCGACCACGAAGACUCACUCGACUACCAGGAGGUCAAAAGGCACUCUGCACUGCAACGGCCUGUAGUUAAGUAGACUUUAUGAUAGUUAAGACACUUUAUGUGGGACGUUACCAGUAACGCCCCGGACUAAAUACACCUUAAACCCUUCAUUACGUGGGCUGGCUGGGGUCCUGGCGCACUCUAUAUAAGCCACCCCCCUCCACAGGCAGAAGGGUUCGGCAUCCUGUAAUUGAUAUACACAUAAUCCACUCGACCGCCUCCGGGCUCCGAGACGUAGGGCUUUUACUUCCUCCGAGAAGGGCCUGAACUCGUACAUCUCUUGUGUUUACAACCUCUCCAUAGCUAGGACCUUGCCUCUCCAUACCUACCCCCCACUCUACUGUCAGACUUAGAACCACGACAGUUGGCGCCCACCUUGUGGCCGGUGUUUUAGCGAUUUUGUGGAGAAGUUGCGGUUCUUCCGAGUACUUUCAUCAUGAUGACUGCUGGAGUUUUGGUUGAGGGUCGAGAGAUCCGUCUCGGUGCUCUCACCUUCGUCGCCGACGACUCCGCCUGGCUCCAGGAGGCUCCACUCGACGUCGAUGCGCUCCCCGUCCGUGGUGCGACGCAUUUUCGCGCAUGUGUCCGCGGCGUUCUGCUGCGGCAAUCGUCGACCCCGUAUCGGUCGACUCCCCCAUCGACCACCCUCCCGGUCUCCCGCCAGCGCAAGCGCUCGGGUCGGUCGAGGCUUCAGCGGUGGGUGAGGCACGCGGUGGCUCGCCAGACGGCCACCACCCAAGUUGCGGCAAUCGAGUCCGACGAAUCUCUCUACGGCCUGUUCGAUCUGUCGACUGGCUCCGUAGAGACUGCAUCCGAGUGCGAUAGCAGUGAUCCAGCGGCGGAAAUCCUGAUGGUCGACGGGCCCCGCAGUCCCCCUGGCUUCGCCCGUGAUGGUGGGGCAGGCGACGGAGGCGACCCCGCACGAGACCACGAAGAGUACCAGCCCGAGCCACUCGACUCUCUGCAAAGAGAGGAACUUCGCCGCAGGAACGUGGAUGUCCUGCGUACUCCCAUCGCAGGAGAAACCCCCGAGGCUCGCGCCUUGGAGGAGGCUCGUUAGCCAAUUUGGCCGAACGCACUCGACUGGAGAAUCUCCAGCGAGCACUCGACGAGCGCGCGCGGCAACGAGUUCCCGACACCAGUCGACGUCAACUCUUCCCGCCGACUCAGGUAUAUCGAACCCCAAUCCAGAAUUUAGCAGCUGCGACCCGUAUAGCAGAGUCAAUCCAGCCCUCUCAGUCGGAAGCUGGCAGAGGCUUGAUGCAGAUCAGGGAUCUGCUCCGGGCAGCAGGAGAUUAGAAUUCGGCCGUGUCGCAGUCGCGCAACAGAAUUCACAGUCGAUCCGUCGCUGCGAAUACGGUUCAGUCGGCUCACAGCCCCAGAUCGCCUCCGCGGCGUGAAGGGCGCGAGAAUCGAUGAGACCAAUAUGGUGACCGACUCGACCGAGAUGAUAGGCGUCGAGUGCCCAAUUCCCCUCCGAGGGGUGGGUCUUACGCUCCUCGGCAGCAAGAUGACAGACGCCAGCUCAGUGCGGGGCGAAGAGUUCCAGUCGACCCCAGAGAACCAGGCUUUGACGCGCGAUCCAUUAUCGUGCAAGGCUUAGUCGACCGGAACAGAGCCUAUCGAGGUGGACUCGACAGAGAUGCGCCCACAAGCAAUCGAGUGCAUGUUUCUGGUCCUGAAUGUUUCAGCAGAGCUAUCAGAGCCGCAGUUAUCCCUCCCAAUUUCAGGUUGGCAACAGGAGUCAGCAAGUUCACUGGUGAGUCUAAGCCUGAAACUUGGCUUGAGGACUACCGAGUGGCGGUUCAGAUUGGUGGUGGGAACGACGAGGUGGCCAUGAAGCAUUUGCCCCUCAUGCUGGAAGGUUCUGCCAGGGCAUGGUUGACUCAAUUACCUCCUAGCAGCAUUUACACUUGGGAAGAUCUGUCCCGAGUGUUCAUCAGAACGUUUGAAGGAACUUGCAAGCGACCGGCUGGAUUGACGGAGCUGCAAGUCUGCGUGCAGAAGAACAAUGAGACUCUCAGGGAGUAUAUUCAGAGAUGGAUCACUUUGCACCAUACUGUGGAGAAUGUGUCUGAUCAUCAGGCAGUCUGCGCCUUUAAGGAUGGUGUCAAGAAUAGAGAAUUGAGUUUGAAAUUUGGUCGAACCGGUGACAUGACCUUGAGUCGGAUGAUGGAGAUUGCUACCAAGUACGCCAACGGCAAAGAAGAAGACCGACUCCGAAGCGGCAAGCACAAGCAGAGUCAGUUGGAAAAGGGAAACACCAGUCGGAAACAGAAGCGGAAGGCUGAACCGGCAGCUCCUGGAGAGGCUCUGGCCGUGACUCAGGGAAAGUUUAAAGGGAAACCAAAAGGAUCCUGGAACCCUAAGAAGGUAAAGGAUAAGGAAGGGAACGACGUGAUGGAUAUGCCGUGUCACAUCCACACGAAGAAAGACGAAGAGGGGAAUAUCAUUUACCCGAAGCAUACCACUCGCCAAUGUCGACUCCUGAUCCAGCAGUUUCAGGGAAAACAGUCUAAGGACAAGGAGAAGGAGUCGGACAAGCCCGCAGACAAGGAGGACAGUGAGGAAGGAUAUCCACAUAUCAACUCCACUCUGACGAUCUUUGCAGAUGUGGAAAGCAAGAGUCGAUUGAAAGUCAUUAACCGAGAGGUGAACAUGGUCGCCCCAGCAAAAGCAAAUUAUCUGAGAUGGUCCCAAACACCCAUCACAUUCGACCAAUCUGAUCACCCAACUCAUAUUGCCACCCCUGGGAGGCAAGCUUUGGUGGUCGAUCCAGUUGUCGAAGGCACUCGACUGACAAAAGUGCUGAUGGACGGUGGUAGUGGGCUGAAUUUGUUGUAUGCAGACACGCUGAAAGGAAUGGGCAUUCCGAUGUCCCGACUGAGCACCAGUAACAUGAGCUUUCAUGGAGUUAUACCAGGGAAGAAAGCCGAGUCACUCAGACAAAUAGCUCUAGACGUGGUGUUUGGUGAUUCGAAACAUUUUCGCAAAGAGAAGUUGACGUUUGAGGUCGUGGAUUUUCAGAGUGCAUAUCAUGCCAUUUUGGGGAGACUAGCUUAUGCACGGUUCAUGGCUCGACCAUGUUACGUGUACCUCAAAUUGAAGAUGCCCGGCCCCAAAGGAGUGAUCACUGUCACCGGUGAUCGGAAAAAGGCAGAAGAGUGCUUUCAGAAGGGCUCAAAGAUUGCCGAUUCCCAGGUGACAGCGAUCGAGUUCGAAGAAUACAAGCAAAAGGCAGAUCCGAGUGAUUUGCUGCGAUCCAAGAAACCCGCCACAGAAUCUGCAUUUUAGUCGUCCGGUGAGACAAAGCCUGUUCACAUUCACCCGACCGACCCCGAUGCAGCUCCGACCCACAUCUCCACAACACUCGACCCGAAAUAGGAAGAAACGCUCAUCCAGUUCCUCCGUGAGAACUGGGACAUUUUUGCAUGGAAGCCCGCUGACAUGCCAGGUGUUCCCAGGGGACUGGCUGAGCAUCGCCUAAGAGUCGACUCAUCUGCAAAACUAGUCAAAGAGCAUCUUCGGCGGUACGCCGUCCAGAAGAGAAAAGCCAUUGGUGAGGAAGUGGCUCGACUGUUGGCCGCAGGGUUUAUCCGAGAGAUAUACCACUCCGAGUGGCUCGCUAAUGUUGUCAUGGUUCCUAAGAAGGACAAAUCGCUCCGAAUGUGCAUUGAUUUCAAGCACAUCAACCGGGCCUGCCCGAAAGAUCAUUUUCCUCUCCCUCGCAUAGAUCAAAUUGUUGACUCGACCGCGGGAUGCGAGAGACUGUCUUUUCUAGACGCCUACUCCGGGUACCACCAGAUCCGUCUGUACGGACCCGACGAGGUAAAAACAGCUUUCAUCACUCCAUUCGGGUGCUUCUGCUAUAUCACCAUGCCAUUCGGCCUCAAGAAUGCCGGAGCCACAUUUAUGCGAAUGAUUCAGAAGUGUCUUCUCACUCAAAUCAGUCGGAAUGUGGAAGCGUAUAUGGAUGAUAUCGUCGUCAAGUCACGAAAAGGUUCCGACCUACUCGCUGACCUCGCCGAAACAUUUGCCAACCUCAGAAGGUAUGAUAUCAAGCUCAAUCCAUCAAAGUGCACAUUUGGAGUUCCUGGUGGCAAGUUACUCGGUUUUCUCGUUUUCGAGCGAGGAAUCGACGCUAAUCCAGAGAAGAUCGGCACUAUUCUCCGAAUGAAACGCCCUGUGCGAGUGCACGAUGUCCAGAAGCUUACUGGAUGCUUGGCCGCAUUAAGUCGAUUCAUCUCACGACUCGGUGAAAAGGCAUUGCCUCUUUACCGACUGAUGAAGAAGGCAGACAAGUUCGAGUGGACUCCAGAAGCUGAUGCAGCGUUUGCCGAGCUAAAAGCUCUGCUCUCCACCCAGCCGGUGCUUGCUGCUCCAAUCAGCAAAGAGCCUCUGCUGCUCUAUAUCGCAGCCACAGGACAAGUCGUCAGUACUGUGCUUACGGUCGAGCGGGAAGAAGAAGGAAAAACUCUCAAAGUUCAGCGCCCAGUGUAUUAUUUGUCUGAAGUCUUGACUCCAUCCAAGCAGAGAUAUCCUCAUUAUCAAAAGCUUGUGUAUGGAAUAUACAUGACCACAAAGAAGGUUGCUCAUUAUUUCUCUGAUCAUUCCAUCACAGUCGUCAGCGACGCUCCACUAUCAGAGAUUUUGCACAACAGAGAUGCAACUGGUCGAGUGGCUAAAUGGGCGAUUGAACUUCUUCCCCUUGAUAUCAAGUUUGAGGCAAAGACAACCAAUAAGUCCCAGGCAAUAGCAGAUUUCCUUGCCGAGUGGAUUGAACAGCAGCAGCCGACUGAAGUUCACUCGAAGCAUUGGACCAUGUUCUUUGAUGGCUCUAAGAUGUUGAAUGGUUCCGGUGCUGGGGUUGUCCUGGUUUCCCCCAGAGGAGAUAAGCUCAGAUAUGUGCUCCAGAUUCACUUUGACUCCUCCAACAAUGAGGCAGAAUAUGAGGCCCUCUUAUACGGAUUGCGCAUGGCCAUUUCACUCGGCGUCCGUCGCCUGAUGGUCUAUGGCGACUCGGAUUUAGUGGUCAACCAAGUGAUGAAGGAGUGGGACGUGAGAAGCCUAGCCAUGACUGGAUACUGCAGUGCAGUGAGGAAGCUGGAAAAGAAGUUCGAGGGGUUGGAGCUCCAUCAUAUACCCCGACUGAAAAAUCAAGCAGCUGAUGAUCUAGCAAAGAUAGGUUCCAAGAGAGAAGCCAUUCCGAGUGGUGUGUUCUUGGAGCAUAUACACACUCCGUCAGUCAAAGAAGAUCCUUUCACCGAAGAAGCUCCACAGCCCAAGAGUGCCACAGAUCCGACUGAGGUUGAAGUCCCAGCAGUGGUUGACUUGGUCAUGGAGGUCUUGGUGGUCAUUCCCGACUGGACAGUUCCAUAUAUCGCGUAUAUCCUGAGAAAAGAGCUCCCGGAGGAUGAGGAAGAGGCUCGACAGAUCGUCCGUCGAUCUAAGGCCUUUACCGUAAUCAAAGGACAAUUAUACAAAGAAAGCGCGACUGGAGUUGGUCAGAAGUGCAUAACACCAGAAGAAGGUCGAAUCAUCCUCAAUGAUAUCCACUCAGGAACCUGUGGUCAUCAUGCGUCCUCUCGGACCAUCGUGGCCAAAGCCUACCGAGCCGGAUUUUACUGGCCAAAGGCGAAUGAGAUGAUAAAGGAAAUAGUGGAUAAGUGCGAGGGAUGUCAGUUCUACUCGAAUAUGUCGCACAAGCCUGCAUCGGCUCUGAAGACCAUCCCACUCGUCUGGCCUUUUGCAGUAUGGGGGUUGGACAUGGUCGGUCCUUUGAGAACAGGGCGAAGUGGCUUCACGCAUGUACUGGUGGCAGUCGACAAAUUCACCAAGUGGAUUGAGGCUAAACCAAUCAAGAACCUUGACGCCGGUGCUGCUGUUAGCUUCAUCAGGGAACUAAUAUUCAGAUAUGGAAUCCCGCACAGCAUCAUUACGGAUAAUGGGUCGAACUUUGACUCGGAGGAAUUCAGAGAUUUCUGUAACUCUCAAGGCACACGAGUCGACUACGCUUCAGUCGCUCAUCCGCAGUCGAAUGGACAAGCAGAGCGAGCCAAUGGCCUGAUUCUCAAGGGAUUGAAACCCCGACUGAUGCGUGAUCUCAAGCAUGCAGCUGGAGCUUGGGUCGACGAACUUCCCUCGGUGCUUUGGGGACUGCGUACCACACCUAAUCGGUCGACCGGAAGAACUCCAUUCUUCUUGGUCUACGGAGCUGAAGCAGUCUUACCGAGUGAUCUUCUCCACAAUGCUCCUCGAGUCGAAAUUUACAACGAAGCAGAAGCUGAACAAGCGCGGCAGGACGCAGUCGACCUUUUAGAGGAAGAAAGGGAGAUGGCUCUGAUCCGGUCGACCAUCUACCAACAAGAUUUGCGUCGUUUCCACGCCAGAAAUGUGAGGGGUCGAGCCUUCCAGGAAGGAGAUUUAGUUCUCCGAGUGGAUCAGAAGAAACAACACAAGCUUGCUCCUUCUUGGGAAGGACCCUUCAUCGUCACCAAAGUUCUCCACAACGGGGCGUACCGUCUUUACAACGUCGAGCAUAAUAUCGACGAGCCCCGAGCUUGGAACGCGGAACUACUCCGCCCAUUUUUCACUUAAGUUUAAUCACUCGGAUGAGUUGCAAUAAAGUACUUCUGUAGUCCAUGGACCUCAAGAUAAUAGUGUCAUAGUUCCUCCAUAAUUUUUGUCACUUUUUAUUUUGUCCAAUAAAAUUUCCCCUCAGUGGGUGACUUAGCCGCGAAUCCGUUUCGCCUAAGUUUGUAAAAAUCCUCCGAGCGGUGAGUCAGACUCCCACUCGGAGGCUUAGCUGCGAAUCCGUUUCGCCUAAGAUUAAAUAAAAUCCUACCGAGUGGUAAGCCAGACUUCCACUCGGAGGCUUAGCUGCAGUCCAAGUACUCGCCUAAGUUAUGAAAAUCCUACCGAGUGAAGAGCAAACCUCUCACUCGGGGGCUUAGCCGCAGCCCAGUGCUCGCCUAAGAUCAAAUAAAAUCCUACCGAGUGGUAAGCCAGACUUCCACUCGGAGGCUUAGCUGCAGUCCAAGUACUCGCCUAAGUUAUGAAAAAUCCUACCGAGUGGUAAGCCAGACUUCCACUCGGAGGCUUAGCUGCAGUCCAAGUACUCGCCUAAGUUGUCAAAAAUCCUACCGAGUGAAGAGCAAACCUCUCACUCGGGGGCUUAGCUGCAGCCCAGCGCUCGCCUAAGUUAUCAGAAAUCCUACCGAGUGAAGAGCAAACCUCUCACUCGGGGGCUUAGCUGCAGCCUAGCGCUCGCCUAAGUUAUCAGAAAUCCUACCGAGUGAAGAGCAAACCUCUCACUCGGAGGCUUAGCUGCAGUCCAAGUACUCGCCUAAGUUAUCAAAAUUCCUACCGAGUGAAGAGCAAACCUCUCACUCGGGGGCUUAGCUGCAGCCCAGCGCUCGCCUAAGUUAUCAGAAAUCCUACCGAGUGAAGAGCAAACCUUUCACUCGGAGGCUUAGCUGCAGCCCAGUGCUUGCCUAAGAUAUAGAAAUCCUACCGAGUGAAAAGCAAACCUCUCACUCGGGAGGCUUAGCUACAGCCCAGCGCUCACCUAAGUGGACUAAGGAAUAAGUCGAUUGCAGUAAGCACCCCGCUUUGGACCUGCAAAAGGCAUUUCGAGCCAAAAGCAAUCAUAUUCAAACACCAAAUUCAAGUUCGGAUCGAUACCUAAAGGAACCGAAAGUGCUCAGGCGCUAAGCCCGUUAAGGUUUAUCGGUUACAACUCCACUCGGCAUACCGAGGCAAAUUUAAAGCGUCGAGUUUAGAAGAAGUUUUUUACCCCUCCUGUGGAGGGCUGGAAGGUGCAACAAACUCAUCAAGAUCAAUUCCAUCUGCGAUCCGAGUGGCAGCCGCAAGGAAAGUUUCCAUAAAGGACCUGAAGUCGUGUUUCUUGGUGUUGGCCACCUGGAGGGCCGCCAGCUUGUCUUCUCGCGCAUCUUUGCAGUGGACUCGGGCCAGACACAGAGCAACAUCUGCACCGCACCGAGCCAAGGACUUUUUCCACUCCUGCACUCGACCAGGGAUCGUGUUCAAGCGAGCCAUCAGCGACUCGAGGUCGUUCUGAAGUGUCUCCCCGGGCCAGAGCGUCGAGUCGAUGCGAGAUGUGGCGACCUUCAGCCUUGCAAGAUAGUCCACGACAACUGCAACAUGGGACUCCAGUCGGAAAACAUUCAUGGCAACUUCGUCAUCCAUCGGAGAAUUGACGGGGUCAAGGUUUGGUUCCAGCCGGCUAGUUUCUUCUUCAAAGUUUUGACAAAAUUCUGCAAGGACGAUCACCGAGUCAAGGCGAUGGUCGAAUGGAAAAACCACGGUUGGAAAUGAUCGCCGAGCAUAGAGAUUUACCUUCAAGCAUAAGAAACAGCUUCUUGGCAAGACCAUUCAGGAAGGCCUCCAGAUCUUUUUUCUUCCCAAGAGCAGCUUUCAGAUUGGCAUUUUCUUGCUCAAGCUUGGCGACUGAAGCUAACUUCUCGUCAACAAGCUUGAUCUUCUCAGCUAGUUCAAGGUCCUUCUUCCGUUGGGCCUCCCUCACCUUACCUGCAAGUUACAGCAAGAUCAGAUUUUGAAACAAAUAAAGGGAAAAAGCAGUCGUCAAGGUCUCACCAAACAUACCUUCGGUCUCCUCCUUUGCCUUCGUCAGAUUCUCCUGAACCAGCUACAAAUUCAGCUCGAGCUGAAUGUGCUUGUUUUCCAGCUCAGAGUAGCGAGCCACAAGAUCACAGGAGUUCUGCGAAGAACCAAUCGACUAAAAUGUCAAAUAUAAUUCACUUCCGAGUGAAAAAGGAAAAAUCACGCGUUUCUAAGACUACAGCCGAAUACGAGCAUUCGACCGUAGUCUCGGGGACUACACCCAGUGGGUGCACUCAGCGUGCCCCCACUAAUCGACCAGUCGAAGACAGAGUCGACCAGUCGACCGUUUGCGAAAUCCAGUCGCCUUAGUCGAAUGACGAAAAGACUGAAAUUAUAAAGCCUAAGGCCGACUGCCCGCAGUCGACCUUAGCCUUGGGGACUACACCCAGUGGGUGCACUCAGCGUGCCCCCACUAAUCGACCAGUCGAAGACAGAGUCGACCAGUCGACCGGUUUGCAAAAUCCAUUCGACAUAGUCGAAUGACGGAAAGACUGAAAUUAUAAAGCCUAAGGCCGACUGCCCGCAGUCGACCUUAGCCUUGGGGACUACACCCAGCGGGUGCACUCAGCGUGCCCCCGCUAACACGGAGUUUAACUCGACACACCCAGUGGGUGACUACUAUAAAUUCUGGAAAGAAAAGUUUCUGAUAGCAUAUCCUAACAGAACAAAUGGUGGUCGACUGACCUGAACAUUGCGUUGGAGGGCGGAACUGGCGUCGUAAGCUGCCUGGCUCGCAUCCCGGAUGGUCUUCAACUGCUCCAUCAUGAUCCCUGCCUGGCGUAUUGCCUCCUUCGCUGCGCCAGCUUGGUCCUCUGGGACGUGGUGCGUCGUGAAGAGGGAGGGCUGCGGAGCACUCGUCAGUGGAUCUGCGAAGGACACGGUGUGUCGAGUGGUGUUCCCCUCCUCCGCGACCAGAGCCUCAGGCACCGUCACAUCCUGGGUCACCUUGCUGGCAGACGCUUUCCUACUCCUUCUGUACUUCAGCGGUUCCUCAUCUUCAUCAUCAUCAGGGAGAGUGAUUACAACAUUGGAUGGAGCUACAGAAAAGAAUCAGGAUUAGAUCAUGAGUCAGUCGACUAAAGACAGUGUUAAGAAUAUAGUACCAGGUUUUGAGGUUGCUGCGCCCUCCAUCUCAUGGUCGUCAGCCCGGGCCGAGGUCUCAGAAGUAGCAGCACUGCAACUCCAAAGAGUCAGUCGACUAACUCCAGCGCCAACCAGAGAUAAAGUUCACACAAAACAAGAAGGCUUAAGCAACAUGAUUACCCUGAUAUGGUGGGGAUGGACACCUUCAUCUUCGGCAGGUGCUUGGUCGGCUUCGACGGGGCCGCCCUGGGCUGCUUCGGCGCCUUUUCAGUCGGCGCCGGAGAGGUGGUCCGAGGGCGCUUGGUCGACUGUGUAACAGUCGCGACCCCCUCGCCGCGUUCAGUCGCAGGGUCAUGGACAAGUUUCGACCGCCUUUCCGAGCGCGGUGGUGCGACCUCCUCCUCCUCCUCCUCUUCCCCGUCCUCAUCGUCAUCAUCAUCAUCGUCAUCGUCAUCAUCAUCGGCCUCGGCGGCGUCUGAGUCCCACUCCUCCUCCUGGCUCUCGCCCCCGCUCGCUUCUCCCUCCUCAGUCGGAGCCUGCGCUCCGUUGGGCAUCGAGUACAGUUCAGUGAGGGUCUGAGAGACAACAAGACAAAGAUCAGUCGACCGAUCGGCAGAGAAAGCAGAAAUAAAUAUGACGAGAAUACAACGGGAAGUGGGGCAGAAAUGCCUUGUUUGGGUCACUGUGGCAGUCGAGUGGAGGAAUCCUUCUGGCCCCGUGAGGGUUGUCCUUGUUCCCAGUAACAGCGGCCAUCCACCUUUCCAGAGUGGCAUCGUCGACUGCUUCUGGAUUGACCCGAGUCACAUCCUCAGUCCCACAGUACAACCACAUGCAAUGGCUCCGGAACUGAAGAGCCUGGAUUCGGCGCCUAAGGAAAACUUCCAGGAGAUCCAUGCCCGUCACUCCCUCCCGAACCAACUGAACUACGCGCUCCAUCAGCAUCUUCACGUCAGCUUUCUCCUCCGGAAUCAGCUUCAGAGAGGAGGGCUUGUUCACUCGGUCCAUGGUAAAUGGAGGGAGUCCACUCGACUGCCCCGGUGUCGACUCAUCCUGGCAGUAGAACCAGGUCGACUGCCAGCCUCUGACUGACUCGGGAAAUGUCAUGGCUGGGAAGGUGCUCUUGUUUCUCACCUGGAUCCCCAGACCUCCACACAUUUGGACCACUCGGGUUCUUUCGUCGCCUGGACUCGCCUUCUUCACAGUUUGAGAGCGACAUGUGAAUAUGUGCUUGAACAAGCCCCAGUGCGGUCGACAGCCCAAAAAACUCUCGCACAUGGACACAAACGCGGCAAGAUAGGCGAUAGAAUUCGGGGUGAAGUGGUGGAGUUGCGCUCCAAAAAAGUUCAAGAAACCACGGAAGAAAAUGCUCGGCGGCAAAGAGAAUCCGCGGUCGACAUGGGUAGCCAGAAGCACGCACUCACCCUCUUCCGGCUGGGGCCGCCACUCUUUCCCUGGAAGCCUCGCAGCUCCAUGGGGGAUCAGGCCCUCGUUGGCCAUGUCGAGGAGAUCCUUCUCCGUGAUGGUCGACUGGAUCCAAUCUCCCUGGACCCAGCCUUUUGGCAGGCGGGAUCUGGACGAAGACCCACCGCGGCUGGUGGAUCUCCCCUUCCCCUUCUCCGUCGCCGACGCUUUCUUCGCGCGCUCCAGCGCCGCCGUCUUCUCCUUGACCAUGGCUUCCGGCGGGGCGCGUGAGGAGAAGUGGUGCGGAGGCGAGAGCGAGCGCGUUGGGCGGAGACGAAGGAGGCAGAGAGAGAAUGCUGAGGCACUGUUCAAAAAACCCUCGCCGGGCGCAUUUAUAAGAUCCCUUCCGAGUGGAUGACAGGUGGGCCCGGCAGAUCUAAUCAUAUCCUGGAACUGUUACGCGGGCGGGAUACGUGGCGAAGAAAGCGGCGCGGGGAUCGAGGCGUCUAUGUCUCGUCCCAUCUGAACGCCGCGGUCCGCUCCGCUUCGCGCGUUUCCCCAAAUUUCGCAUCCCGCGGAAUCCGCGAACGGCAGAUCGGUCUGUCAGGCGCGGGAUUUCCUGCGAUCCGUCGCUCGGAAAUCGACAAAGCCCGAAAGAUCACUCGACGAAAGAAAAGAAUGGAUCGAGUCGACUGAAGACAAGUUGCUCACUAUCAACGAAGAGAUUCUCUGGUUCAGAACAACGCACGACCAGUGUGCAAAGGUUAAUCGAAAACAACAUCAACUCCUCCGUCACUCAAAGCCUCAAUCCAUCCGGGGGCUAAUGAUGGGGUCAUGUACCUAGGGUAGGGUCACAGACCUGAUCUAACUACCCUGCCCAAGGACACCCUUAGAAGAGGUCACCUUCCAGUCGGCCAACGAGGGACUCACUCGACUGACUUGAAGGACUCGACCACGAAGACUCACUCGACUACCAGGAGGUCAAAAGGCACUCUGCACUGCAACGGCCUGUAGUUAAGUAGACUUUAUGAUAGUUAAGACACUUUAUGUGGGACGUUACCAGUAACGCCCCGGACUAAAUACACCUUAAACCCUUCAUUACGUGGGCUGGCUGGGGUCCUGGCGCACUCUAUAUAAGCCACCCCCCUCCACAGGCAGAAGGGUUCGGCAUCCUGUAAUUGAUAUACACAUAAUCCACUCGACCGCCUCCGGGCUCCGAGACGUAGGGCUUUUACUUCCUCCGAGAAGGGCCUGAACUCGUACAUCUCUUGUGUUUACAACCUCUCCAUAGCUAGGACCUUGCCUCUCCAUACCUACCCCCCACUCUACUGUCAGACUUAGAACCACGACAGUUGCCACAAGAGCAUUUCUAGCUUCGAUGGUACCUGUACUUUCCACAUCUUGGUCCACGUUCGCUACUCUACCUCCAAGUUCGAUGUGUCUCCAUGUUCCUCUAGCCACGCCUCCCGUCGGAACUUUGUGGCCACGAGCAUUCAAUAGGCUUACCAAAUGGAGAACACAACCUUCCUUCCAAAAUUCCAAGACCAAAAUGAACCACCUGGCUAGUGCGCAAGGGUUGAUAGGAUCACCUCGACAUCUGUUACGAUGAAGGUCACUUGGAUCUUUUCCAGGUCCCGGGCUGCAGAGUUUUGUAAGAUGAGCUCACUAACCAGUCGUGGAGGGUUCUCAGAUCUGGCACAUGUUAUAGUCUAUGGGUAACCAGUUGUGUUGCCACUUGUCAGUAGUUUUCCCGUCCCCGAUCCUUCAAAUGAGCCCUUGAGCGAGAAUGUCUCUCCCCUCUGGAAUCGAUCGGCAAAUUUGGGUUGGAGAAUUCCCUAAUUGUGCUUGCAGGAAAUCAUGUGUUGUUUGCUUGUGACAUCUUUUCAACUCGACUGCUUUUUCACUUCCUAGUAACUAUGCUCUUAACUGACUAGUUAUAGUGUAACCAACAACCCUGCUCAGGUUCGAGGUUGUCUAUAUAUCGCUUGUAGGGAGGUGUAUGGGACGCUCGCCUACAACACAAUUAAAUGGGUCGGGCCAAGUUUCUAAUCCCCUAGCUCUUGCCUAACCCAAAAUAUAGCACAACGUAAGCACAUUUUUUCUUCCCCUUUCCCACCUUUAGUUUCUGUUUAUUUGUUCUCUAUUAAAAUUCAAUAUAUUUAGGCUAUUGUUAUGUAAUUUAAAAAAGUUCAUGUAUCAUACACAAGUGUUCAUGUAGUUCAUAAAAAAGAUUGUUCUUGAAAUUUUUCACAAUGUUCACACAUCCGAGAAAAAAUGUUCAUGAAGUUUUAAUAUAAUGUUCGUACAUUCAGAAAAUGUCAGUAACAUCUAACAAAAAUGUUCAUCCCAUUUCAAAAGAAAAAUCAAACAUUUACUUCUUGAUUUUUUUAACAAUGUUCAUGAAAGUGAAAUUUUUGUUUGUGCAGCCUAAAGAAAAUGUUCAUAACAUAUAUGAAAGUAUUGGUGCCAUUUAAAAAAAACUUCACAACACUUAAAAUAAGUUUUCACUUUUUAAAAAUGUUCAUGGUAAUAAAAACAAUAAUUUGCACAACUUCUACAAAUGUUGCACCAUUUUUUUAAAUAACACUCAAAAAUGUUCAUGCAAAUAUAUAAUUUUUUUCGUGCAAUACUUAAAAUAUGUUCAUGACAUGUAAAAAGAUGUUCAUACACAAAAUCCAUGGAUUAAAACAAUUUAUAAAUUUGGGAAAUGAAGAUAUUAAAAAAUAAAAUGGAAGACUGGAAACAAAAAAUUGAAGAGAAAAUGAAAAAUACGAAAAGAAAUAUAGAAAAACUGGCAGAGAAACAAGUAAAGUAAAGGGGCUGCUAUGCGUCAGCCGGGGAUCUUUUAAAAGAUCCGCCGCCUCGCGAGUCGUUGGAUGUGGCACACUCCAGCGGCUCAACGUCCAACUCUACUUCGCAACACAUAUCUUGUUGCAGUGACAUUUGCAACAAAGGUUAUGUUACAUAAUAUAUUUUUUGUAACAUAGGUUGUGUUGCAGGAUUUUUUUUGCAAUAGAGUUCUUGUCGUACAUAUUAUUUCAACUGAGGUUUUGUUGCAGAGUUUUUUGCAACAGAGCUGAUGUUGCAAAAUCUUGUCUAAGUUGUAGUCGCUGUUCGCCGCUAUGGUUUGCAACACCACUGUUGUUGCAAAAUAAGGUAAAGGGGCACGUGGUAGGCAAGGGAAAUAACGAACGUGCGUGUGGACACAUGAAUAAAGGGUGAUCCAACAUCUACACAUGCGGCAGAACUCUUCGCACGAUCAGCCGGCAGAGCAUUAGCGUUUAUGAAAAAGAAAAGAAAUAAAAUGGGAAAUGAUAUGGUUCAGCCGGCGGAUUAUCACACUGGCAUCUUCCGCAUUGGUUGCACUCCCACGUGUGAUGGUGGACCUGGCUCCCCAUGAUCUCUACUUUCUACAACAAGGCUUUUGUGGCAAAAAAAAAACUAUAACAAGAUCUCUGUUAUAAAAAUAAUUAAAUUGCAACAAGCAUCUGUUGGAAAAAAAACUGUAACAAGACCUUUAUUGUAAAAAAAUACAACGAGACCUCCGUGGCUAAAAAAAAAGACUGUAAAAAGACCUCUGUAGCAGGAAAAAAAAUGUUCCUCCGUCUUACAGGUUUCAAUCGACAACAGCGGAGCAGCAGGCCUUUCAGUUGUGGUGACUCCAUAUAUCAAUCUGCUACAUCUCCUAUGGCUCACCAGUACGUCUACAGCUCCAGAGUAGUCAAAAACACAGUAGCAGUUUGCUCCAGCAACGCCAUGAGCUAUGGCGUUUGUGGAACAGUUUGGCUAAUUUACAUCUAGAUGAUUUUUACUUAUGUCACAUCUAACUUGCCUACCGUAUGAUCAAGGCUGUAGGAUUCGUGCAAACUGUUUUUUCUUGUCCGUGUCGCAGUGUCCCUCGCGCUGGAAACGAGUCGCUUUCUUUGUGUCAGGCCGGUGGCAGUUUUCCUGUUGUACGUGCCUGCUGGUGUGGAAUGGGGAGGUUAUUUCAUAUGGGCUCCAAGUAUUUUUUUUCUUUCAAGCAUGUGUACGAUAUGGAUGUAGAAUUCAAAGAGUUGAUUCUCAAAAAAAAAACCCAAAGAGUUAAGCUUUCAUACAUAUUCUCCUUGAGCCUUCUUCUCUAGUUUCUCAUUGUGUUUAUUCUUUUUUGCUUUUUUGUUUUUGUUUUUUUUUAAUUUGAAAUUUAUGAUAUUUUUUGUAAUUCAAUUUCUUCUCCUUUUAAUUUUUAUUUUUUCCAUUUCCCAAUUUGUGAUAUUUUCAGUACGUGAACACUUUUUGAAGUGUGCGGACACUUAUUAAAGUACAUGCAAUAUUUGUGAAUAAUUUUUUUAAUUUUGUAAAUUCAUCAACAUUUUAAAAAUAUUUGAACACUUUAACAAUGUCUCAUCUAAGUUGUGUUAUGUCUGAUCUAUUUGUUGUAUUUUUUGGGUCCAAAUUUGAUCCCACUUUGUUUUGUUGCGCGUGCCCCGAGUCAUUGCGAUGUUCCAUUGUCGACCAUUUUUGUUAGGUCCAUUUUUAGUUUUUUCCCGGUCAGUUUUGAUGGUAUUUUUUUCUCGUUUGUUGUUUGCCUGCUUUGUAGAGCGAAAUAGACAUGGUGCUUUGCUUGCUGCCUCUUUUAUCAUUUUCAUUCUGCGGCUGCUUUGCCUCCUUGUAUUUUUCUCUUUGUUUUUCAUUAGUUCAACACCUUUUAUGUGCGGCCGUUUUUUUGUUGUUUUUGCCUUGGUUACAGGUCCACCCUCAAUUUGCAACUGGACCAAUUAUUUUUUCGCCUUAGUUGCAAGUCCAGUAUUAAUUCACAACUGUACCCAACCUUUUUUUCUUCAGUUGCAAGUUCACCUUCGACUCGCAACCGGGCUUGAUGUUUCCUUCGUAUCGGAACUGAGCUCAAAAAAAUUUGGUGUCAGUUGCAAGUCCAACCUCAACUUGCAACUCAGUUAGAUUUUUUUCGCCUCAAAUGCAAGUCCAACAUCGACUAGCAACUAGGGGCUGAUUUUUUGGUCCAGAUGCAAGUCAAUCACCGACUCGCAACUAGGGGUAUUUGUGUUUGUCGAGGAUCCCCAGUUGCAUAUUGACAAUCGACUCAAAACUAGGGAAGUGUGUGUUUGUCGAGGGUCCGCAGUUGCAUGUUGACCAUCGACUCGCAANNNNNNNNNNNNNNNNNNNNNNNNNNNNNNNNNNNNNNNNNNNNNNNNNNNNNNNNNNNNNNNNNNNNNNNNNNNNNNNNNNNNNNNNNNNNNNNNNNNNNNNNNNNNNNNNNNNNNNNNNNNNNNNNNNNNNNNNNNNNNNNNNNNNNNNNNNNNNNNNNNNNNNNNNNNNNNNNNNNNNNNNNNNNNNNNNNNNNNNNNNNNNNNNNNNNNNNNNNNNNNNNNNNNNNNNNNNNNNNNNNNNNNNNNNNNNNNNNNNNNNNNNNNNNNNNNNNNNNNNNNNNNNNNNNNNNNNNNNNNNNNNNNNNNNNNNNNNNNNNNNNNNNNNNNNNNNNNNNNNNNNNNNNNNNNNNNNNNNNNNNNNNNNNNNNNNNNNNNNNNNNNNNNNNNNNNNNNNNNNNNNNNNNNNNNNNNNNNNNNNNNNNNNNNNNNNNNNNNNNNNNNNNNNNNNNNNNNNNNNNNNNNNNNNNNNNNNNNNNNNNNNNNNNNNNNNNNNNNNNNNNNNNNNNNNNNNNNNNNNNNNNNNNNNNNNNNNNNNNNNNNNNNNNNNNNNNNNNNNNNNNNNNNNNNNNNNNNNNNNNNNNNNNNNNNNNNNNNNNNNNNNNNNNNNNNNNNNNNNNNNNNNNNNNNNNNNNNNNNNNNNNNNNNNNNNNNNNNNNNNNNNNNNNNNNNNNNNNNNNNNNNNNNNNNNNNNNNNNNNNNNNNNNNNNNNNNNNNNNNNNNNNNNNNNNNNNNNNNNNNNNNNNNNNNNNNNNNNNNNNNNNNNNNNNNNNNNNNNNNNNNNNNNNNNNNNNNNNNNNNNNNNNNNNNNNNNNNNNNNNNNNNNNNNNNNNNNNNNNNNNNNNNNNNNNNNNNNNNNNNNNNNNNNNNNNNNNNNNNNNNNNNNNNNNNNNNNNNNNNNNNNNNNNNNNNNNNNNNNNNNNNNNNNNNNNNNNNNNNNNNNNNNNNNNNNNNNNNNNNNNNNNNNNNNNNNNNNNNNNNNNNNNNNNNNNNNNNNNNNNNNNNNNNNNNNNNNNNNNNNNNNNNNNNNNNNNNNNNNNNNNNNNNNNNNNNNNNNNNNNNNNNNNNNNNNNNNNNNNNNNNNNNNNNNNNNNNNNNNNNNNNNNNNNNNNNNNNNNNNNNNNNNNNNNNNNNNNNNNNNNNNNNNNNNNNNNNNNNNNNNNNNNNNNNNNNNNNNNNNNNNNNNNNNNNNNNNNNNNNNNNNNNNNNNNNNNNNNNNNNNNNNNNNNNNNNNNNNNNNNNNNNNNNNNNNNNNNNNNNNNNNNNNNNNNNNNNAACUAAGGGUGUGUCCUUGGCCCCUAGCUGCAAGCCGACCAUCGACUCGCAACUAGGGGUGUAUGUGUUUGCAAGUGUCCUUAAUUUCAUGUCCACCACUGAAUCACAGCUAGGAGUGUGUGUGUGUGUGUGUGUUUGUCGAGGGUCCCCAAUUGCAUGUCGACCAUCGACUCGCAACUAAGGGUGUGUGCCUGGCGCCCAGCUGCAAGCCGACCAUCGACUCACAACUAGGGGUUUUUGUGUUUCUCAAGGGUCCCUAGUUGCAAGCCGACCAUCGACUCGUAACUAGGAGUGUGUGUACUUUUCUAAAAAAGUUUAACUUUUUAAGAAAAGAGUGUGCAUUUUCAAAAAAUGUUCACGUUUUCAUAAAAUGUUCGGAAGUUUGAAAAUAAUGUUCUUAUAUUCCAAAACAUUAUUCUCAAUAGCAAAAAAUGUUCUCAACAACUAUUUUUCUCGAUUACAAAUGAAAAUUUUGAAGAAAUGUUGGGGAAGUUCCGAAACUGUUUCGAUCGGCCGCUUGAGAUAGGUAUUCAGAUAUUCACGGUGAUUAGAUACAUGAGCGCCUAACAGUGUGUGUGUGACAGUAAGAGGUUUUUGUGUUGAAUCCGUGCGGCUGCUCUUGUUUUUUUGACUUUUCCAACGUUGCACUGUCGACCAUCGUGUGGAAUUCGUAUGGCCGGCUCAGCCGGAGGUUCCUUGCGCGGAACACGGCCCGCAGCGCGGGGCACCUCACAAAAUAAACAAACAAAAAAGAAAUCAAACAAACAAGCAAGGCCCAACCUUUGGAGUGACGAGGCACGAAGGGAGGAAGCGCGGGUGACAGACCAUCGAGGAGAGAACAAACGGAUAGAUCAGGAAAGCCACAAAUAGGGUGACAUUAUCUUAGAUGUGACAAACCCUUUGUGGAAACGCAGCGGAGUUUGGCAUUUCGGACUGCCACGUCUGCAGCUCAGUAGCACGCGAGGGUUUGGUGUUUCUAUUUAGGGCAAAAACGACACGGUUCGUGGCGUUUUUGAAAAGGAUCAGAUCGCGAAAUAAAAUUCGAAUGAGUUCAUUUUGUGCUAAAGUUCCUGACAAAGUCAAGACAAUGAUUUUGACCCAGCUAAAACGCCACCGUAUGCGCGAGAACUAUGUCUUGCUUGCUGCGGGACAUAGUUCCGGCUCACCUUGGGCACGAGGCUAAUGGGCUAGCUGGAUACUGUAGCUGCCUCUGCGUGGGUUUUUCUCUCUAUGUUUUUCUUUCUCGAUUUUGACUGUUUGCAUCCGUUUUCUUUGGAUUUUUUUCUCUUCAGGUAUCUUUUGAUUUUAUUUCUUCUUUCUUUGGAUUUCUUAGUCUUUUAUUUUUCUCGUUUAGUUUUUUAUUUUAUUAUUGUUCUUCAACCUAUGUCUAAUUUUUUAUAUAUAUUGUAUAUUUUUGAUAUACUUCUGGAAAAAAAUUAUAGAUGUUAAAUAUUUUUAAAAAACAUGACUAACAUUUAUUCAAAUGUCUACUUUGAUGUCUAUCUUCUUUCAUACAUAUUGUGCAUUUUUCGUAUACAUCUAAAACAUUUUUUAUAUAUAGCAUUUUUCAAAUACAUGAGAACAUUUUUUCAAAUAUAGAUGACUACAUUUUUUUCAUACACAAUGUAUAAUUUUCAUAUACAUACGAAACAUUAUUUUUAUACAUGUUUAACAUUUUUAUGAUACAUGGUUAACCAUUUUCUCUAAUACUACAUGUUUUGAACAUUUUUUAUAAUCCUAUGUGUUAAACAUUUUUCAAAUACACGUGGACACAUUUUUUUGA